rnacentral:lncRNA from 1 species
UUUUUUUUUUUUUUGCGGGUGCCAUUUAUAGUCUUGUUAAAGCAUAUAGUGGCUGUGCUCCUAAAUACUAGUCCUAUUUGCUAUGAGAUUAACGACCCUAUCUAUAGUUACAUACUAGCACCAAGUUUUAACAUGUUAGUUUGACACAGAUCCAUCGGGCAGGGCACCUCAACUCCAAUGGAUUCGCUCCUACCUGGUUUCCCGCCAUCAGAUGUGCCAUCCCACAGGAGGUCGAGGUAAGGGCGCCCUUGCUCUCUCUUCUUUCAGGCGAUUUUCACUUUCAUGCCAUACUUUGGUUGUUGGCAACCACUCUAGAAAGGUCCUCUGUUUUUUGCUUUUUGUUUUUAAGGUUCAAGUAAUGAGACAUGAAGUUGCCUUUUUCUUCUUGCUUCUCUUUUUGUGGGCAAAACAGAGAGUUUUAUUCGUCAUGUGCAGGAUUACAAUGACCUGAAAUUCUACGUGAAUAAAAUCCGGAGGACAAUGCAACCAACCCACGGUGCUCACGUCCGUUCCACCAUGGUUUCGAGGCAAUUUGAACCCUGUUUUGUUUUCAAUCAAUCUACCUCAGUGCAAAAUGCCGCUUCCUUUUAAGGUUCUGAAUUUCCUAAAAAGGUGGGUGUACAUCUCGCUUCGCGGAUGUAGUGAGCUUUAGGCGAACUGCAGAUUCUGAUCUGGAGCUAAGCGUAGGCUUUCAACAGAAAUCAUAUUCUUACUACAACUUACACAAAAUAAUUAAGAAGAGAAAUAACUACCUAGAAUACGAUGUUGGAAUUUAGGACAGUCAAACCGUAUCUAAAAAUGAAAAGUUUCACGAAUUUUAAAAUUUCAAUUUUUAAAAAAUUUCAUUUUUUUGAAAAAGAUCAUUAAUUUUAAAAACGUUUAUUAAAUUUGGAAAAAAAAUCACAAAAUUGAGAAAAGUUCAUGAAUUUAAAAAAACUUGGAAAAGUUCAUAAUUUGAAAAAAGUUCACAAAAUGAAAAAUUCCCUAAUUUUAGAAAAGGUUCAGAAAAAAUUGAAUUUUUUCAUUUAAAAAAACUAUGAAUUUGCAAAAUGGUUUCAAAUUUUAAACAAUUUCAUGAAUUUGAAAGAGAAAAAGAAAAUUGAAAUAGAAAACAAAAAAAUAAGAAAAAGAAAAGCGAGCAAAACCAGUGCUGGAGAAAAACCAAAAAAAUCUUAAAUGAACUUGGUUUUCUUUUUUUAAGAAAAAAAGAGCAAAAGGGAGACUAAAUGGGCCGACCUACUUAUGAAACCGUGCAAUGUGCGCCACAUACCGUUUUGUACUCUAAGCGUCAAAUAAUAUCUAGCGUGAGAAGAUGUCACCCAACUGAUAGUGGGUCGGGUGGAUCGUCCGGACUCCUCUUGUCGCCCCCUCCACUAGGUUUGGUUCUGGGCUAGGGGAUUAGAGGUGUCCGCUCGUGUCCAUGAGACAAUUGAGGGAUAACAUUGGAGGCAUAAAGUGUCCAUACUAUCCACUUGGAAACAUAUAAGGGCAACUCAAACGUGAAUCACCAAAUCAUAUGGCUUCAAAUGUCCGUGAACAUAUCCAGACGUGUCUGCAAUGGUAGGGGGGCAUCCAACCGCAAGAACCAAAUGCACACCCCUUUCACUGAAAAGAGAGAAUAAAACAAAACCAAAUCUCUUCCUCUAGUCCAGGUUCACUUUGACAAAUGUAUCUAGAUGAAUAACAAUUCAACCAUACAUUUAAAUUCUAGAGCACCGCAUGUUCAACAAACUUUUUAAAUACAUCGAUCCCAAAAGCAGAAGAACCGGAUGUUUGUGCCAAAGACCUCAUAUUCUCCACUCCUCAAAAGCGGGCUCCAUCUCAAGCUUCCUCUCCUCGAGCCGAAACUUCUUCAUAGGCACAUGUAUAUCCAGUUGCUAUGCCGAUUGAGCUUCAUUCAACAAUGCAUCAAUGUGAAGGGUUUUCCCUUUGUCGUUUGGACAACGCACAAUGAUGUGCGUGCUAGCCAAUGACGUAAUCAACAAGUUGCAACAUUGAGAAAAAAAUACUAAAAUGGCCGACACAAGAGCACUAAAGAUGCAAAAACUUACGAGCUCUUCGAGUGAUGCGGCCCUUGGUCACCUUUUUUGCACUUGUGCAUACCACUGUAACACUUUGUUGAUGGCCUUUUGAAUGGCGUACCAUCAUGGAGUAGUGACUUUGCACCACAAUCAUGGUCACUUCCCGUGCUAUAAGACGCGUAGGGUUUUUGCUCAUUGAACAGAUCCUUAACUCUGACGAACACAUUGAUGCUAUCCAUACCAGAGGUACCAAUUUCAGAGAAUCCGUCAUACUCCUUUAGAAGAACAACAUAAUCCCCGAAAAUCCAAGGACCCUCUUCCAUUGCCCUUUUCCAGCCACACAAACAUUGAAAUUGCAUUGUAAGAAUAUUUGGUUCAAUUGUUCUGAAUUUAACAUCUCGAGCCGGUUGCCACUCAUAAUUCAUCGUUUGCAUAAUGAAUUCUGCCUGGAGGGCUUGUUUGUACAAACCCUACCAAUCGCAAUCCACUACGCAGCAGCCUUGCUACCGAAACGGAGGAACUGAAAAAUGAGAUUGAAGGGCACCGCGGAGUGCUAAACAACCAGUUGUGAAGUGUUAGAACAAUGGAUCAUGCAAAGAAAGAAGGGCACAUUCACGCUACCAUAGAGGGUUUGGAAGAGAGGUAGGAAGCGCUGUGGGUGGAGCAGCAAGUGCUCUUUAUUCGUCUAGCAUCUCGCUAGAAUAGAAGAGUCCUUAGACUCUUUUUAGUUUUCUUGCACUUUUUUAGCACGACAUAUUGGCUACACCUUGUGUUGUUAAGAUUUUGCGAGCUGGCUGUAAUUCUGAAACUUUGGAAUAAAACUUUUUGAUUACCCGGAUUCCUUUAGUUGGAGCUGAAACUAAGGACAACGACACUACUAUACACACGACACUACGUUCACGAUUCAUGAACAAUUGGUAAUCUGAUGGAUGUGUCGCACUUUAUUCUGUGAAUGGAAGGCUGGAUAUGAAGCAUCGUGCAUGCAUCGGUUGAAAAGGGUCAUCUGCAUAGCUGUGUUCUCCGGGCAAUUUUCAGGUGAUACCAUGGUACAACCUACGCACAAUUGUAAGACUCUUGGAUGACAUUGUUGCAAAAUGUUCAAGAACUCCCGGGAGCCAUCGGAUCUGAGAUCCAACGGCUCCAAGAAGCCCCUGAAAUUAUAGCCGAGCCGAGGGAGCAUGGGAGAGAAGGGAGAGACAGACGGGGCCCACCCCGCAGUAGUUGCAGCCACUAUUCAGCCGGGCACUGCCGACCGCCACUGCCAGAGGGGCAGCCGCCGCCACCCGCCAGAUCUGGGUGAGGCCCACCCAGGACACAGACGGACCAACAUGGCAUGAUAGUAGCCGCACGAGAGGCCCCCUCUAGUGAAGCGCGCGCCGCAUCCCCUCCGUGCAUCUGUCAUCGACGAGGGCCGCUAGCGCACGCGCCGCAUCCCCUCCGUGCAUCCGUUGUCGACGAGGGCCGCCAGCACGCACGCCGCCACACACCCCCUGCGCGCGCGUAGCCACCACAGCCCCACCGUACGCCUGAGCGCAUGUGACACCGCCGCCACGCCCCACGUCAACGCCGCAUCCGGCAUCCCUGACGGCGACCACAACUCGUGCUGUCGAUCCCCCGCGAGGAGGAAGAAGGGCCUCACCGCCGCCCCCGGGGACGGCGAGGGAAGAGGAUGGGAGAGAGGGGAGGGGGCGGCAAAGCUAGAGUUUCGAUUAGUCUUCAACAUAUUCCUAAUUCACAAUUUCACCUUGCUUGUCUGGACUAUAACCUUGGAAUACUUGAUCCCUGGAACAAAGUAUGGCCUUUCCACUAGUCUUAAUCCUAAUUCACACAAGUCUGUCUGGAAUAACCUUUUUUUUUUGGUGCGGGGACUGGAAUAUAAACUUGGGAUACGUGGGCUUUUCACUAGUCUCAAUGCUAAUUCACAUACACGAGAACAUGACAAGGAAGGAAGCAAGGGAAAUUACCUCACCUUUCCUAUUCAACCACACGCCAAGUCCUAAUGUAACAAGCGAGUCAAAUAUGUCUCAUACAUAUUUGGAUUAUUUUACAUGGCCUUCACUGAAAACAUCAAUUCAGCAUCGCGAUAAUUUCUCAAAACAAAUAAGUUCCCAAAUAGCUGAAUGGUUAUUUAAGUUUGAACUUAUACUUGUCUACUCUUUAUAAUCAUGCAUACUACAAGGCGGUCACUAACAUGUAUAUGCACAAAGCUUACUAGCUAGUUGUAGCUUUGUGUGAUAAAAUCAGUUACUAAUAAUGGUUUGCUUUUUGUACUACUAAUGAAACCUUUGUUAAUUUCUAAUGUUAUUAACUCACACCGCAAAAUAGCAAAAAUCAUUCAAGUUUAAUCUGUUUCAUGUGUUUAUUCUAUCAAUGAGGCAUUUGAUUUGCCUAUUGUAUAAGAUUACUAUCUGUUGGCUUACUUUGAUCUUUUUUUCUGUAACUGAAGCAUUUUGAGCAAUUCUUUGCUCCUUUAGCCAAAUUAAACUCCAACAGAAAUCCUAUGGACAGAAAUCCCACAAGCCUUAAGAUCUGAAUCUUUGUGCUUUUCUAGCAUUAUAGGGUUUAAAAGGAUGCUAUAUUCAGCACAAAAAUAAUAUUGGAAAGCGUGUUACCUUGAUUACUUCGGUUUCAAUACUUCUACAAUGAUAAACAAAAUAGGACAACAAUAUAUAUAUACAUAUACAUAGCUCUUAUCGGCCACCCCCAUGAGUAGUGAUAAAUCGGACAAUUUUUUGAAUAGUGACUUUUCAUAAAUUUUUGUUUCAAAAAUCUUGCCAAUCAAAGAUGCUCUUGACCUGGUGUAGCUCUCCUGGGCAAUUUAUCAUUUAUCGCAUGCUUGGGUGGUCGUAAUUUUAGAUGUGCAGUGUCUAGCUACACCUAGUCUCCAAACUAGUACAUGCUCCUAUUGGGUUUCGGCCAAUUUAUCCAUGUUCAAGGCAUCUGAUAGUGAGGGAUACUAAGUGCAAACAUCAUUUAUAUCAUAAAUAUUGUAUAUUGUUAAAGCUGUAAUGCAAAUGCCCAUGUUGGGCUAAAUUUGAUGUUUCUAUUACUCUAUUGAAUUUAAAUGGAUUAACGAAAAAAUAUGCCUGAUGUGAUAAAUAGUAAUUUAUAUGGGGCUAAGACGACACACACUAAUUUAAUUGGGUGUACUCAAUCGCAGCAAUAUAAUUGUCUUAUUUGAUGUCCAAUGUGAUUACCUGAUAAGUCUAGAUGCUUUUCUCUUGUUCCUUUUUGACCUUUGAUGCUUUUAUCUUCUUUUUGACCUGGAUGCUUUUUUAGUUUUAGAUUAAUGUAGGUUUUCCUGAAGUAGUAUGUUAAAUUGAAAGAUAAAUGUUCUUACCUUAUGCCGAAGUAAUUCUUGUUAGAUCAAUGGGACAUCAGAACUUCAUGAGUAUAGAGUUACAACAAAUAGAGGGGAUGACCUCGGAGUUCACACUCCAGCUGUUAGACCAUAUUACAAAUCAUUUUUCUGAGGAGAGCAUAAUUGGCCGUGGUGGGUCUGGAGUAGUUUACAAGGUAGUGUAUGAUUGUACCUACAUCUUCUAUUAUUUGAAUGGUAUGAUCAUACUAUAUAUUACAAUGAAAUUUUCAACAGGGUGAAUUGGAUAACGGUGAAGAGAUUGCUAUGAAGAAGCUUCAUCAAAUGCCUGGGCUUGACGAGAAGCAAUUUACGAACGAAUUCAACAAUCUUAUGAGAGCGAAACAUAAAAAUAUUAUACGGUUAGUUGGCUACUGCUACUAUCUAGGACAUGAACGUGUAGAGCACAAAGGAAAAUAUGUUUUUGCUCAUGUGCAAGAAAGACUACUCUGUUAUGAAUACUUGCAAGGUGGAAAUCUCGACCAGCAUCUUUUUGGUAUGAUGGCCCUCUAUUUAGACUUUUAUUUUGCAUGUCAUCUAAUAAUAUUACCAGACUAAUGUCUUGGUACACUUUCUAUUUUCUCUACAGAUGAAUUAUGCGGACUUGACUGGCACACACGGUACAAAAUAAUAAAAGGUGUAUGCGAGGGUUUAAAUUUCCUCCAUACAGGAUCAGAAGAUCCUAUCUGCCACUUGGAUUUAAAACCCGCAAACAUACUGCUGGACAAAGAUAUGACACCAAAAAUUGCAGAUUUUGGUUUGUCCAGACUCUUUGCUUCCGCACAGACCCAUAUCACGACACAAAUUAUAGGAACACUGUAAGCUCCUAGUAAAUAGGAAGUUGUGAAGUUGUUUUGAUUAACUCACUAACUCUUCUGUUGAUGUAAUUGUAUUUGUACCAUGCAGUGGAUACAUGCCUCCCGAAUUCAUAGAAAGAGGCAAAAUCACACCAAAAUUUGACAUAUUCAGUUUGGGUGUUAUAAUUAUAAAAAUAAUAGCUGGGCCUGAUGGUUACUCCAAAUUUGCAGAUAUGUCUUCUGAAGAAUUUGAUAAGCUGGUAAGAAAAUUUAUUCAAGGUAUAUUUUUUUCAUAAAUGUUAGGUUGUGUGAUGUGCCUCAGGGCAUCGCCAAAGCAGACCUGCAAAGCUCCGGUAUAUAUUGUUCGGACCACUUUUGUUGAUUUUUAUCACGAGUUGGCGUUACUUUUCAAUUUUGCAGCUGCACCAAAACUGGGCAAAGAGGUUGCAUGAAACGAUGCCGUCCGGUACAUUGCAGGAAAUGAAGACAUGCAUGGACAUUGCAUCAAGAUGUGUGGAGAGGGAUGAAGAGAAAAGGCCAUGCAUAAGCGAGAUUAUCCAUGAACUGUAUAAGAUUGACAGUGGCAUUAUUAACGAACCAAAUCAGAAUUACAGUGACAUUCUGGAUAAACAAGACAAGCUUGAUGGUCACCUUGUCGAUGAAGUGGAUAAGAUCGGUGGUAACAUUGCGGCCAAGAUUGAGGCGAACAUUAUCAAUGAACAAGAUAAGGUUAGUACUGCCAAAACUUCAACCAUGUUCAAGGUAAUUUUGGUGACAGCGUUCAUAUGGGCAAUUUCUUUUCACCUAUAACAUUGCCUUUGUGUCCACGAAGAAACAAUUUAUAACUUACAUGGAGAAAAUAAAGCAAAUCCUUUGCUAUAUAGGUCCUCAACUCCUCAUCCAUGCAUGUUAAUUGUUAUAAUAAUCUUAACCACCAGUAUUAUUGUCAAUACUCUUCCUAUAUAUGCAGAAAUCCUUGGAGAGAAUGAGUAGGCUUGUUGUUUCCCCACGUUGCGUGUGGGCAUCAUCGGCGCUGGCCCGUCAGGGCUCGCUGUUGCGGCCAGCCUCCGCGAGCGCGGCGUGCCAUUCGCCGUGCUUGAGCGAGAGGACUGCAUCGCCUCGCUGUGGCAGAAGCGCACCUACGACAGUCUCAAGCUCAACCACCCGAAGCAGUUUUGCAACCUCCCACGCAUGCCAUUCCCGGCUGACUACCCGGAGUACGUCACCCGCCGCCAAUUCAUUGACUACCUCGAGACAUACGCCGCCACGUUCGACAUCACGCCGGAAUUCAACCACACCGUCCAGUCAGCGCGCUUCGACAAGGUUGGUGGCCUGUGGCGCAUUCGGGCACGGGUCGCGGAAACGGAAGAUGCCGCCGAGUUUGAGUACAUUAGCCGCUGGCUGGUUGUGGCCACCGGCGCCAACGCUGAGCCAGUCGUCCCGGACAUCCCGGGCCUAGCUGGUUUCUGCGGCAUUCCAGUGACUACAGGUCCGGCAUGUCCUACAUCGGCAAACGCGUGCUCGUGGUGGGCUGCGGCCAGUCCGGCAUGGAGGUGUCCGUCGACCUGUGCAACGGUGGCGUGAUCCCGUUCAUGGUCGUCCGAAACGUGGUCGGCAUCGCCACAAUAUAUCUCACCAUGCUGCUCAUGCGGUGGCUCCCGCUCUCUCUCGUUGACAAGAUCAUGGCCUUCCUCGCCUGGCUCUUACUCGGCGACCUCGCCAGGCUUGGCAUCCGGACCCCCGCAGUUGAUUCGCUCACGUUCAAGAAGACUGAUGACAAUGGGCGCGCCUGGUGCGCGAUCGCGAGGAGGAUCAGGUCCGGUGACAUUACCGUUGUCCCUAGCGUGGCGCGCUUCACCAAGUCCGGCGCCGAACUGUCCGACGGCAGCGUCGUCGACAUCGACGCCGUCAUACUGGCCACUGGCUACCGCAGCAAUGUGACCCGGUGGUUCCAGGGUAUCGAAUUAUUGGGGAAGGACGGUUGCCCCAAGACCUCGUUCACCGAUGGCUGGAAUGGUCACUCAGGGCUCUACUCCGUUGGCUUCACCCGACGCGAUCUCUUGGGCGCCUCCGCCGACGCCGUGUGUGUCGCGAAGGACCUUGCCGUGUCGUGGAGAGAGAACACGAAACCCAGAAAAUCAGUUAUUUUUUAGAUGACUAGCAAAAAUGCCCGUGUAUUGCAACGGGUAUAAAAUAAGCACAAAUUGCCUUCCUUCACCAUUCUUUAAGUGAGUACUAAAUUAUCCGCCAACCGAUUUUCUAAUUUCUCUAUUGAAAUAUGAACUGUAAUGAAAUUAUUAUUAUCACUUUAUUGAAGUAAGUAUUAUCAGUAUUGAAAUCAAUUUUUUUGGAAUAAUGAAAUAUUUACAUUAUUUUUGAUUUACUAUAACAAACAAUGCACGUACCUUGCAAUGGGAUAUAAAUAUUCUAGUACGUUAGCGUAUGAUUAUGUGUUUGUGUAAAUAAAUAAUCAUCAAAUUCUGUCAGUGAUUUACCUUAUAUUAUGAUCGGAAGUGAUUUACCUGUCCAUAAUAUGCGUUUGUGUAAAUAAAUGUUCAAAUUCUGCCCGUGAUUUACCUUAUAUAUUUUGAUCAGGACUUUGGUAAGUAAAUUAAAAUGGAAUUGGUUUAGAAGGUAAGUGUUAGAGCAACUCUAGCAGACCCCGCAUCCCGCCGGCCCGCAAAACUCGUUUGCAGUUCGCGCAAAACCACUUUUGCGGGCCGGCGUGGGCUGACACAGAUGCAGACCCCCCAAACGGAUCCAUAAAAAAGUAUAUUCGCGGAAUAUGCUUUUUUACGGGUCGGCUUUGCGGGUUCUGCUCGGGCACCACCGCGAAGAUCCGCAAACAUAAAAACUGCAAAUCUCGCAUUUGACAUAGGUUUGGCAAACAAGUUCAAAUUCAAACCACAUAAACAGUUUGCGUGCAAAUAAAAGCGAAGUUCAUAACACAAAAGAGGGAAUGCAAAAGGUUUGCACCCAUGUCUGACAUCAUCUUGGGGGGGUCGAUCUUCACUCUGCGCCAUGGAAUCCACCUCCACCGAAUUGAAGUUCAUCGGCGCCACCGAAUCCACCUCCCUCGCUUGUUCCAACUCCCGCACUGAAAUCAUCCACAUUGCCACCAUAUGGAGCAGAGAAAACAUCACCGGAACUUGAACACGGACCGGCCGAAGCUACCAUUCUUCUCUUCAAGAUCUCUCUCCUUGCCAUAUCAUGCCAUGUUUUGGUGAGGUCGUUCAUGUCAUUGCGGUUCAUUGACAUGAUCUUGUUCUAUUCGGCGAGCAACAAUGACGUCGAUUUGUUCUCGGAGGCGCGUGCUUUUCUCUCCUCAAUGGAAGCUUUGCGGAGCCCCUCUUCCUUGAGCAUUUGCCACUUUUCUUUCUUCUCUUUUGCCUUCUUCUCGGCCAACUCUUUUUUGAUCUCCAACGACUUCAACAACAUCAACUCGUUUGAUUGCACUAUGAAAUCAAUCUUCUCCCUCAAGCUCGAUGCUUCUUGCUCUCUCUUGAUCUUCUCUCUCGUCUUCUUGUCGCCAUCGGGCUUGUGCUCAUUUCUUGGGCCAUCAUCAUCUUCGUCUUCAUCCAUGUUUGCAAGUGAGCCUCUCUUUGGUGGGGACUCUCUAUCGAUCAACUUCCACUUAUCGCACUUUUGGAGCAACUCCCAACAAUGCUCUAACUUGAAGAAUCUGCCUUCUGAAGCUUCCAUGGCCUUGUAUCUUUGUUGAGCAAUCUUGUCCUACAAAAUGUGAAAAAAAGUGAUGCAAUUAUUUCCCAUGAUACAUUUUGAUGAUGCACAACUUGAACAAAGGAAAAACAAACUCACAUGAUCGGAUUCCACGGUGCCACUUGGAGGUGCAUUGCGUACUUGCUCCAAGCAAACCGCCCAACGGCUGCACAUAGGCUUAAUAUUCUCCCAACGCCCUUGAAGCGACCGAAAUGUGCGUGGAGUCCUAUUGGGAUACUUUCUCAUAAUGCGGAAGUAUUGAUCUUCGAUCCUUUGCCAAUAUCUCUUGGAGGUUUGAGAAACACCUGUGCAUGGAUCAAGAGACACCGCACUCCAUGCUUGGAUCAAAGCUUGAUCUUCCAAGAUCGUGUAGUUCUUCGAUCUUUGGCUCUUCCCACUCUUUGAUUGCGAUUCCUCAAACGUUUCCGCUUCGAUCUCCUCCAAUUCAUCCACACAACCAUGAUCAUCCACGCCGUCGUCCGUUUCAUUGUAGUCGAAUGGUUCGAAAGGGGCUUGAUCAAUGUCAACCGCGUUCAUGUUAAACAAGCUCACGAACUCGGUUGUUGCAUUGUUCGAAGCACCGCUAUAGCGAACGAUAACAAGUCACGAGCUAUCGACACUAAUGGCGAAAAUGAAAGGGAAUCGCUAGACCGAAGAGGCAUACCUUGCAGCCAUUUCGUCGAACACCUCGCUCGCGGGGGGAGCGGCACCGUUGAACGGCAUUGCUGGAGCACCUUAUUGCGGGGGAAUGGAGUGAGAGGUUGAAGAAGGUGGCUUCCUUUUAGCCGGAACCUUCCUCCGCUUUACGCCCGCGGUCUUGCCGGUGUUCUCCGCCGCCGGCCGGGAUCGCACUGCGGUGUUGGCGCCCGGAGCGCGGGCCGCCGGGGCGGGGGCAGCCGGAUUCCCGCCCUGCACGACCACGUUGCCCUGCCGCUUGCGGGCCGGCGCGGCGUGUGCUUGGGUGACGGCGGCGGGGGCAACAUGGCCGGCGACGAGAUCCGCCUGAGGGGAAGGAGCAUGCGCGACCUCGACGGUGACGGGGGACAGCACGGGAGCGUCCAUGGCGGCGAGGAAUGGCCGGGAGGAGGAACCGGAGCUUGCGGAGGGGGGAGGGGCAAUGGUGGCGGAGGGUGCGGGGAGCAGGAAAGGGUGCAGGGAGCGGGAAAGGGUGCGCGGAAAUGUCCCUCCCGCCAAAUCUCGCGCCGGAUGGGGGUUCAACUUGGAUCGGCCUCCCAACCCGUGAAGAUGGAGGUUGGGGGAGAAGAUUUGCCGCGCCCCGCAAAAAAAAUUGCGGGCCGGGCCGGGAUGUGGGGUCUGCUCGGGCUGCUUUUCUGGCCCGACCCGCAAUUUGGCGGUUAUUUUGCGGGCCAGGGCGGGAUGCGGGGUCUGCCAGAGUUGCUCUUAGCGCAUUUCUUGUUUUAGUGUUUUGGUGAUGAUGAUAACUCACCUUGCGGACUAAUCGUGUGCCAAAGUCACAUCUUGUGUUGGCACAAUAUGGUUAGGCUUUCCCUCCUAACGGAAAAGAACGGAGACGGAGGUUCCGACAUGUUUACUUCUUUGGUCGUAGGAACCCCGUACUAUUAAGAGUGAAUCCGCAUCGCAAGAUUUUGGGUGAAUCAAUAUACGUACACAUUCAUGUCCACCCAAUGCUCUCUUCUGUUUCGUGGAGAAAGAGGUCCCCAUUUCCUCCCACACAGUGGUUUUGUCUCCCUAGCGGUUGUACCGCCCGGCUCGGCAGUUGUACCGCCUGCUCGGUUCUACUAGCACAACCAUCGCCCCAAGGGUGAUACCCUGGGGUUGCAGCUCCCAGGUACAUGCCCAACGGUUGUAGCGCUGCUCCCGAGCGGUGGUACCGCCAAUUCAAUGGGAAAACCAAUGACUGCUUAAAGGGUGGUUGUACCGGCCCAGUACCGCUCAACCACCGGUCCAGCUUCUGUGAUGGGGCGUUUCUUGGGCGGUUGUGGCCCAGUUGUCCUGGUAUACUCUAUUAACCGGUACUACCGGUGCCCGCAGCAGUUCUACCGCUUGGGACUUAGCCACCACCAGAACUCGGGCCUGGCGGUUGUUCCGUGGCAACUACCGCUCCAACUACCGCUAUGGGGGUGAUUUCCUUUAGUUUUGAGGCGGUAGUUGAGCGGUUGUUCGGGUUGGUUGUUACGAUCGGUACUAGCGACCACGUCUUCGGUUGUAUCGCCUGUUAGGUUUCCACAGUGUACCCUGAAUCCCAGUUGUACCAGGACCAUGAGCACUUGUACCACUGCAGUGUAAAAACUGCUGUAACGGUUGGAUAUGGGGGGCACUAUAUAAGGGGUGGUUCUUCCACCUACCUCCUUACCUCUUACCUCUCUCUCUCCUCCAUUAAUGCCCAUCAAGCUUUCUUGCCUGAUCUAUCUCUCUAGCCACUAUAUAAGGCGAUGGUGGCUCAUGGUGAUGGUCAUGGCGAGAGAAGGGGGAUAAUCCUGGAGCUGGAGGCUAGUACAGAUGAAGAAGAGGAGGAUGAGACCAAUGAUGACAACAAUGCUAUUUGGGAAGAGUAACACAAAAAUAUGUAAUGUGAAUUUGUAGGAAUUGCUCGAGACAUGUUUUGCCUCAAGACAUGCUUUUUCUUCAGGGCUGGUGUUUCGGGGGUGUUGUUUCCCUCAUGUAGUAUCUAGUAUGUAUUGUCAUUUAUCGUUGUUCAUCCAAUUUUUGUCAUUAGCACUAGAUGUGGUAGAGUGUGGCGAGGUGACCACUAGAUCCUUUUAAAUUUAUAGUUUUAAUAUUGCACCUGGAUGCUAUGUUUUCAUUUUUCUGUUCCAUUAUUGUUUAAUAGUGGAACUCGAUCAAUUUUUUUAGAUCAUAUGAGAAAAAACUCGGUUUAUUGAAAAUCUGAAAACUUGCACUUUGAAUAGAUCAAGGCGGAUUUAUUCCCCCGUCGCAUGGCUUGCAAAUAAAAUCGUCCAAACAAAACCUAUCCUGGCUUGAGUCAAUUGCACAGAACCACCACAAUUGUGCCACCAAUCAUAGAAAGGACGGAUUUCCAGGGCACUAGCAAUUUGCACCAUGCGAAAAAGUUGUUUUUUGCAAAAGUUAUAAAAACCACUCCCAACCAAUCUUCUAAGCAGUAAGCCCCAGUACUUUUGAACAUUUUCUUCCGAUACUGCUGAGCUACAUAGGGUUAUUCAUACCAAGAGAUAAAACCAGACUCAAUUGUUCGGAACCUCGUUUUCUUCGCACCUCGUCUUCUUCGUACGAUGCCUUCUAGCCGCAGCAGCUAGGAUAUGGUGACCGCGUGGUUGGACCGAACCGAAGUAACCACUUGGACAUGGACGUCACCACUUUACGUCCACAGACAGUGCCAUGCCAUGAAGGAAACAAAAAGGUCGACGAGAUGGCCGGGGUCGCUGCCGCUGCUAGUGCAGCCUCCGUCCCAACUGACAAGUGAACCCCACACUGGCCUAAUCCCCCCAUCCCGGUUUUUCUCGAUGCCACGUAGGCAAUCCUGUUUGGAUACGACCGCAAGGUUAAAAAUGACCGGGAUUAGAUAGAACAGGGUAUAUACUUCAGGGAUUCAGAGGUGAGGGUUCAUUUUCAACCAGCUCUACAAUCUUAAGGUUUAUAUUAGACUUUACUCGGCAUAGAGGGAUAGUCGGGGCGGCGGCAGGCAACGUUGGAGGCAGCGCUGUUUUGGACCGUUGGAUUAAGGUCUAGUGGUUCUUGUGAAAGUGACAUGAAAUAUUUUCAGAUGCCUGACGUAUGGCCGGUCCCAAUAUAAAAUGCUAGCUAGUCACUCUGUGCGUUCGGUUUAUUCGGUUUGCAUGGUUCGGUUUAUACGGUUUUUCAGUUUGUACGGUAUUAAUACUUCGGUUUAUCCGGUAUGAUAUUAAAAUACGGUUCGGUUUCGGUAUAUACCAAAUUAUUUCGGUAUGGUUUCGGUAUAUACCAUAAUAACCAAAGUUGACGCGAAUUUGAAAAUGACAUACUAUAUUUUACAAACUUAUAAAUUCAAACACAUAAUUUUUAAAUACAAAUGGUAUAUAACUUUAUAUAAGUAUAUAUGCAUGCCUCAAUUCAAGCCUUGAAAGGUUAUGAACGACGUGGUUAGCAUUUUUGCCAGAGAAAAAUUACUACGUUACAAGAAAAAAUGGAAGGUCUUUGCAGGAAAUUUUAUUCUUAUACAAGAAAAAUGACUACUUGUAUCGUUGUUUGCCUCAAGAAAUAUAUAUUUUUUUAUUUCGGUUUAUUCGGUUAACCAUUCGGUUUUUCGGUAUAUACCAUAAAAACCGAAAUUCAAAACGGUAUGAAAAGUUCAUACCAUAUCGAAACCAGAAACCAUAAAAAUCGUGAAUUCGGUUCGAUUCGGUUUAUUUUCGGUAUGGUUUUUCGGUUCGGUUUUAAAAUGCACAGAGUGACUAGCUAGCACCCACUGCCCCUGUGGAUGAAUGUAAUCACCGUCUUCCCAAUAUAAAAUGCUAGCUAUCACCCACUGCCCCUGUGGAUGAAUGUAAUCACCAUCUUUUGGAGAACAUUAAGUCGUGGUGAUGAGCUGCUAGGAUCCUAUUGGUUGAUAGAAAAGGUAGGUAGGCGGUAAGCGAUCUGAGAGGUGGCUGGUUCAAAAUAUUCUAAGAGCAAGUAUAAUAGAGAUGAGUCAGCAGGUUAUAUGGAAUAAACUAGUAUAUUUUUGCUUAGUUGGAGGAAAGAGAAGAGGAGAGAGAAGGUAAGCGGGCUCUUCGUGAAGAGCCAGCUCUAGCACGUGCUCCUAGGCACUUUGUGAGAAUGAAACGUGGGCCACAUAAUGAAAAACUAGUACACUCUUUUGAUCUACUAUUAUACAUGUUGGCUAUAAGAUGGGUUGUAGAUGACAUGGCACUGGCUUAUAGCCAGCAGCUGGCUAUACUAUUAACCAUGCUCUAAUUAGUAGUAGCGCAGCAAGAAGAUGGUGCUAAUGUAGUGCAAGAGAUCAAAGUUGGCAUAAUUUAGUCGGCGUAUCUUUGGUCAACCAAGACCGAAGAGCCGUACCUUGUUGGUAUAAGCGCUCAUAUACAUGCGCAUACACUCAACGGGAACGUCUCCUCCCAUUGAAUGCGCAUUGCCGAAAAUUCUGAAAUAAAUCCAAAAAUAAAUGCGAGCAUCAGGAUUUGAAUCCUGGUGGGCUGAGAAUACUACAGUCCAUCUAACCAUCCAACCACCUAUUCCCUCCGUUCGGAAUUACUUGUCUCAGAAAUGGAUGUAUCUUGAACUAAAUAGUAUAAAACUACUACUUUACAGGUUAGGGUUCCAAAAAACUACCGAUUUUUAUUUUUUCUCAGAUAACUACCAAAUGGGUGGUCGGCUGUUUCAAAAAACCCCAAAUGCAUGCUGUUUAAACAUUAAACCUAUUUAUGACAGAUCGGGUCCACCCCUAAACGAACCGUUUGUUUGACCAGUUGUUUGACCGUUAACUGACAUCUGGGGCCCACAUGUCAGCCAUGGAGCAAAUAAUCACAGAGAUUUGUUAAAAAAGCCCCACCCGAACAGGUGAAGGACAAGGACCAGAUCGAGAGGAAGAAGAACUGCUCCCUCCGCCGCCCGCCCGCUCGCCCGCCCGCCGUCGGCGAUCACCGGGGCUCAACCCCGGCCAUUCCUCUGACCCACCUCCUUCUCACCGAGCUCUCCGCACCCAGCGCCGGGCCAGCGGCCGCCUCGUGCUGCGCUCGGCCGCGCAUGGACCUCGUCCCACAGGCGACUCCCGAAGAUGCGUGCGGAGGGGAAGAGGUCUGCCGGAGAUGGCGGCCGCUCCAGGGCAGGCAACGACUACUCCAGGCGCCGCCCCAUGGUGGCGCGGCAGCUACCGUAGGCAGAUCGCCACGGCAGAAGGCGGCGACCGCGGGCGGAGCGCCAUGGCUACGCGGCGGAGACCCCAUGCCACGCCACGGCGGUGCGCCGGCGACCCCAGGCGGCGCGGCGAAGACCCAAGGCAGAGAGCCGUGGCAGCGCGACGGCAGCAACUCCAUGGCCAGGACAUGCUGGCCGGAUUGCUCUGCCAGGGGUCCAAGGACCCGAUUGCUUUUUAGAAAAUAUUAUAGGGACCUGAUUGCUUUCUCAAAAUAUUUGGAGGGGUUAUUUUGUAAAAAAUCUAUGAAAGAGACACUGACAUGUGGGCCCCACAUAUCAGUUAACGGUCAAACACACGGUCAAAGAGACAGACCGUUUAGGUGCGGGCCCGACCUGUCAUAAACAGGUUUAAUUUUUAAACAACAUGUAUUUUGGGUUUUUUGAAACAAUUGACCACCCGUUUGGUAGUUAUCUGAGAAAAAUUAAAAACCGGUAGUUUUUUGGAACUCUAGUCUAUAAAAUAAUAGUUUUAUGCUAUUUACUCAUUUUCGAGACAAGUAAUUCCGAACGGAGGGAGUACCUUGUUGGUUCGGCCGGUGUCUCUCCGGCCGACCCAUUUGUGCGCUGCAGUACGUAUUUUGUGACGAACUGCUCUGUAAUGAAAAUGAAAAAGAAAGGAGCAGGUUAACCUCUGGGCGUGCACCUGACAGGCACGCGCUAAUUAAAUACCCCUCUGUAAAUUAAUAUAAUUUUUUAAUUAGUGAUCUAAAGGAUCUUAUUAGUUUACGGAAGUCUCGGUCGAUAAAAGAAUUUGCAAGCCGGCAACACCAUCACGGAGAGAAGGUAGGGAUUAAAUAGAAUUCAACCAUUUCUCAUAUGGAUUUGCUAGUUGAAUGAUGAAUGGCAGACAGAAUUUAUGAUGAAUGAGAGGCCUCCUAUAGGUACUGGUGCAGCGAUUCUUCAUGAUUGUCUUUCUAUGGAGCCAGGAUUUGUUAUGAGCAUGCGAAUAGGGAAACGAAUUCUGUAGCUCAUGAACUAGCCCAGUUAUCCGAGUUCCAGGCCAGUAGGGUCUGGNNNNNNNNNNNNNNNNNNNNNNNNNNNNNNNNNNNNNNNNNNNNNNNNNNNNNNNNNNNNNNNNNNNNNNNNNNNNNNNNNNNNNNNNNNNNNNNNNNNNNNNNNNNNNNNNNNNNNNNNNNNNNNNNNNNNNNNNNNNNNNNNNNNNNNNNNNNNNNNNNNNNNNNNNNNNNNNNNNNNNNNNNNNNNNNNNNNNNNNNNNNNNNNNNNNNNNNNNNNNNNNNNNNNNNNNNNNNNNNNNNNNNNNNNNNNNNNNNNNNNNNNNNNNNNNNNNNNNNNNNNNNNCUCAUGGUGAACGAUGUAACAUUAUUACCUAUUAAAUAAAGAGGUCUUUUUUGAGGUAAAAAAAAACAGUCAUGCCACUGUUUUUAUAUCUCUUUGAGCAGCCGUAGUGCAACUAGAUUGCAAAUGGCUGUUUAUCUGAACAUUUGCCUCUGGCGUUAAUUGUUCAGAUAAUAUCGGUUAACGGCGGGUGCAAUGCAAAUAUGAUCUGAAGAAUUUCCUCUGCCUUGGACGAUGCACCGACCAAAGGAUGCAUGAACCUGUUAUUUGAAACUUGUGGGGUCAGGAGUGAAACACAAGUAGAGAAACUACAAGGUGGCCUCUUCUAAACAAGGAAGAGCUUCCACUUCUUAGCCAUGUGAAAUUUUGUAUUGCUACCUUACAGCAUGUCCCCAUCCGUAUGCAGUAACCUAGCACGAGUUGAGUAGUAUGCAAGCAAAAGGGACAGCACCAAGGUUGGAAAUUUUCUUCUCCCGGAAUCUUUCGGAUUUACAAUGCCGAAACUCGAAGAACGGAAGAAGAAAACAAACAUGGGAUCCAUACAUCAUCAUAUGGCGGAUCGAGCCAAUCGUCUCAUCUAACAGCGAUUCAAAUUGUGUCUCAGGUCGGUUGAAUCGAGGACAUUACAACGCACAUGUGGCUACUUCCUGAACAAUCCUGAACUCUGGAGCGCCUUGCAGUAGUCCGAGGCGACGGGAGAUCUCCUCACCAUGUCCCAUAUCUUGGCCGAGCUCCUCAGCCAGUCGCGCUCUGUGAGGUUCUUCGAGAACGGCCUCAACGGCCUCGCCAGGACCUGCAACGACAGCAAUGUACACAGCAGACUGACUUAAUGGGGCCGCUAAUCAAUGCUUGAGUAAAUAAACAAGAUAAGCUAAGAACAGGCUGCGUAUCUGACAGUGAACUUUUUUUUUCAUUUUAAAUGGUUUCAAGACUGGAGUAUAUAAAUAUAUAUGUAAUUUCCACUCGGACUAGAAAAGAUACCUGAUCACGAAGCUUUCCUAGCAUGGAUGAGUAUGUCCCAUACUCUAACUUUGCUGAGUUAUCAUGUGAUCUUAAUGGAAGAAGGAAUACGUCCUGCUGGCUGGAGCUCAACUCUUCAACUUUCGUGCUUGGAGCAACCGAGGAAUCAGUAACUUCAGGUGUCGCACCAGAGCUGCCAAUGUUAAAUGAAGAGGACUCAAAGUGUUUUUCAAGAGUCUCCCGUAGACGCAUGAGCUUUGAAGGAGAAAAGUCAUGCUCCCUCAAUCUGUUCAAUUAGAAAACACCACCAAUCAAAUUACUAAGAUUAAAUGAGCAGAGGGAUGAAUUAAGUAUGGAAGUGGUAUGUGCUCAUAUGAUCGUGCUGCAGCAAUAUUAUUAUUUUUACCAACAGGAAAUUCAAAAGAUCCAUUCAUAGAAAUAUAAAUGAGUAUCUGAUAACAGAAGAAAGAAAAAUACACUCUUAAGGCAAGUAGAACAGUUCAUAAUGCUCACCUAGCAUGCACAAAACAGAGAUCGGCCACGUAAUCUUCACUGCCUGAUUGGUUAUCACUCUUAUUUUCCUUGUCUGAUGUAGAUGAUGUUAACAAUGAUGGGUCAGGUAUGUUAUUCUUCAACAAAUCAACCUGUAAAAAUACUUAAAUACAUUACACAACACCCCUUUCAGCAUUGCACAAUAUUGCCAAAUAUCACUUCUAGCUUAGGGUCAUCAUUCAACAUGUUUUAACUACAUGAGCACAGAGUAACUGCAGAAGUUUUCAUCAGUAGAAAAUACUAUUACAAUGAUUCCACUCUCCAAAUGUUGGAUAAGAAAAGUGUGCUAUUAUCAACUAUGCAUAUGCAUAAUAUGCUCAAGAGUGUGACAGGUGAAACAAGUACAGUGAGAUAUACGCUAAGGAGACUCCAAAUUUUUGAAUGAAGCUGGAAGAAUCAGACAAUCUGUGGCAGUAUGUAGAUACAUGAGCUAGCUUUUUCUUUAUUGAAGAAGAACAAGAAAAUGGAGGAAAAUACUGAUAUACUAAAUGCAGAAGAGAACAUAACUACCCUUGUAAAUUAUCAAUCUGCUCCAUUAAAGUCAGAAGGUUGCAGGAGUAAGAUCAGUUCUGCUUGUAGUGUCCCUUAAACUAGAUAAGAGCUCAUACACUCAGUUAUGAACAUCUGCAUGUAGUUUGUUCUGCUGUUCUGCGUAUAUUACUAGAAUAGGCUCAAUAAAACAGGGGUUUUCUGAACAAAAUUGGCAGUUCACACUACCACGUGAACAGACUAUUUUAAUUCUCGAAAGAAGAAAGUGUAUGUACUGAUAAAUAAUAGCUAGACAACUCACCGUAAGCAUGAGCUCCCACAUGGAAAAAUCAUUGAUCCCUUCUGACACAACCAACACAAUAUUACAGACAGAUGCCAAGAAAACACCAAGCUACAGAAAUUCCUUGCAGAAUAACAGGAAAUACUGAUCAAUUACUGUGAAAUCACAAAGGUAAGGCUAGCAGUAACACAGUCAGGUGUAAGAAUUAAAGUAAAUCAUUUACCUGGAUUCCCAUUAGCUCAUGGGCCAGGUCUGCUGGUAAUGGAUCACCGUUAAGAACAGGAAGUGAAGAUGAACCAUCUUGCCUCAUCAUAUCCAUUAGGAUGGAUGGACUGUAUACUGGCUGCAGGAUAAUUGAUUGCAAUCAAGAACAUUACCAGGAUUUUUUUAGCUUAACUGUUCUAGCAUUUGGAACACACCAGUGCUGAGAGUAAACUAAGUUCAUCUUACCUGAGUGUCGAGAAGUAUAACUCGUUCGUGAGAUAUCCUGAAAUCAACACCUGUAGUACAGUGCUUUGCCAUCGCUUUGAUUUCCUCAGUUUGCGUAGCAAAAGGAGGAUGCAUUCCUACAGAGAACGGUCACCUAAUUGAAUUUUGGUUCGCUCAAGUUUGGUGCAGAAUGAACUGCUAAAGGUAUUUUUGCUAUGAUUCUCAGCAGCACAUGGGCAUGGAAAAGCUUUUGAAAUUUUUGAUAAGUAGAGGAAGCAUAGAACUUUGAAACAGAAUAGAUAUUACAACACUGCAACAUUAACGAUAAUGUUUGUAUUACUUUAUUAUCAACUAAAAGGUGAACCUGCAAUUACUGCUUAUAAGUGCAUGUCGUUUGAAUUCUUAUUUGAGUACAACAAAGUCAACUAAAACCAGUACAACAACCAGUGUAUGGCUGAACGACUGUUACACAGCAUAAAAGGAACCAUAACAUAAGUAAAAGGGAGUAUUAAGUAUAAUGAACCACAUAAUUAAGUGUACCAGGUGAGCUUCCAUCAUAUCCAUAAAGCUCGUUCAUGAUGGUUGACUUGCCCACACCAGGUGGACCGAUUAUCCCGAUCACCAUGAAAUCGUUGUUCUCCGUCAGAUACUGCAAAAAGGAAGAACACGAGACAUAUCUUAAACGACUGGUGUAGAGCAUGGAAAACUGUAGUGCAAGAUCUCAGCUUGCUCAGCACAACUCCCCUCCAUUCCAAAAUAGAUGAAUCAACUUUGUACUAACUUUAGUACAAAGUUAGUACAAAGUUGGGUCAUCUAUUUUGGAACGGAGGGAGUAACAAGCAGUCAAAGUACACUCAAGUGCACUGAACAUUGAGCAAUUAGACAUAUGAAGCUAAUUCAUACUCAGCUACUCCACUAUAAAAUGACAUAUGAAGUACUGGAGGAACCAGUCAAUUCUUUUGCACUGUAGAAUGCAGUUAACCAAGCACAAAUUCAUCCAUCGCCACACUUGAAUUAAGCAGUAAUAAUAAUCCCAGAAACGCCACACACGCACGGGCGCGCACNNNNNNNNNNNNNNNNNNNNNNNNNNNNNNNNNNNNNNNNNNNNNNNNNNNNNNNNNNNNNNNNNNNNNNNNNNNNNNNNNNNNNNNNNNNNNNNNNNNNNNNNNNNNNNNNNNNNNNNNNNNNNNNNNNNNNNNNNNNNNNNNNNNNCGUGCACGCACCGGUAGGAUCUUGUCGGUGUGGACCUCCCAGGCGUCGGAGACGAGGCUGAGCGAGCCAGGCUGCGGCCCCUGCCGCGCGCGGGCGCCAGCGCCCUCGUCGUCGGCGCCGGAGGACGAGGGGGGCGGCAGAGGCGGCUUCGCGAGGAGGAUCUUGGGCGGAGGCGGUGGCGGCGGGUGGGAAGAGGAGGAGGAGGAUGAGGAGCCCCGGUCGCCGACGCCGGCGAGCAGCUGCGGCUGUCCGGCGGCCAUGGCGGCGUGGGUACUCCGCACCGCACUUGGGCUUCCGUCUCAGCUGGAGCGGGGAGUUUUAAGGGCCCUUAUUUGUUACUGCUAUCAAGUUUUAAGGGCCCCAAUUUCGGCCUCUUCUUUCUUAUUACUGUAUCACCUGGGCCAGGCCCAUGUAGGUUUGAGCCGUUUUCUCUUCCUUGGAAUAGUUUCUUCACAGAUUUGAGAAUACCUUAAAUAAAUUUUAAAAUAUAUCAGAAAUAACAUAUAAAUAUACACGCCCAUCACGUUUUAAAAAGUAGUAUUCAUCAUUUGUCCCAAAAAUUGUUGUCGUAUCUGUAAAAUGUUCAUCGCAUAUUAUAAAAAUGUUCAUGUACACUAGAUGGAGAAACAUAUAAAGGAAAAAAAAAGCAGAAAACAUGAUAACAAAAAAAUGUGGAAAGGAGAAAAAAAACAAAAAAGAUAAAAACCAACAAGAAAAAGAAAAGACAAAAAGAAAAAACCUUGAUUCUUAACUGAGUAGCUUAGAAGCUCUUACUGUGCAGGUGUUGGCGACAAGUUUUAGUGUGUUUUGUGUGCGGGUGUUGUUGACCUGUGUAGCUUAGAAGCUCCUACUGUUUCGAUAAACCUUGAUUCUUUUUUUUUUUGCGGGGUGAUAAACUUUGAUUCUUAACUGAGAGAAAAUUUGCUACUUAAUGCUUCACCUUUCCUCUUGGGGGAAUUUCAACGACUCUUGUGAUAGUAGCAAGGUGCCGUGCUGUAUUUGUAGCAUGGUAGCAUCUAAAGUAGUGGUAGCACUAGAAACAUAUAAUAGCUAGAGUUCGGAAUGGCUCUUUUAUGAUGGUUUAGUAGCAACAUGCAUGUAGAUAUACCAUGAGUGUUAAAAAUGUCUUCAACUAUACCACCCAAAUUGGAAUUAAACGACCACAAAAGUUGGCAUGUGACAUUUGGUGAAGCAAUGAUUAUAUAUGUACUGGCCACACACAUCGUUUGUCACUAGCUUGCCUCCUACAAAUAACUAGUGUAUUCCCCAUGUAGUGGGAUAACAUAUGGUGGGUAGGACAACCAGAGGAGAAUGGGAAAGUGUGAAACGAGAGAAACAAUGCGAAGAGGGUUGAAUGGCAUGGACGGUCACAUAGCAUGAUCAAACAGGAAAUGGGAUGUAUUAGAAAUUCAAGCAGGGGGCACCUAGAGUGACAUAUUCGGAACACAAACGAUGAAUCUAGCAAGCACCAAAAGGGAUGUGACACUCAUGACUUUCCGGCCAGAUUCAGUGGGACUGCGUGUUGUCAAGCCAUCGCGACUCAAUCUUGGAAGCAUUAAUCCUCUAAAUUUCAUCAACCAAGAAGCACGAGAAAUACCACAAGGACAUGUGAGUCUCCUAUGCUAUUAUACCCGUGUAAUCCUCAAUGGUUUCCUUUGAUUCACACGAGGACAAUAUAUUCUGGUGUGACACAUUUGUAAUUCAAGUAUAGAAAUCGCAGAGAGAAGCACGUGGUUCCCAAGCUAAUCUACACCCGGUGAAUAGUAAAUACAAUAGAAUUAGUAAAAAAAAUAUGAAAAAUUUAAGCAUCGAAGAUGAUUAUGUGCGCAAGGUGCGUGCAAAUUUUCGUGGUAUUUGGACAUUUGAGGAGCUCACACCCAAAAAAAUCCGCUAUGAAUAGUGUUCUUUUUCAAAGUCUCUCACACACAUCUGAAUUAUUAUUUUUUGCAUGAGCUCCUCAGAUGUCCAAACACCAUACAAUUUUGCAUGAACCUUGCGCACAUGAGAAUCUUUGAUGCUUAAGAAUUUAAGUUUUUUUUUAAAAAAUUACUAUUAUUUUGAGUUUACUGUUCACACCUAGGUAUAAAUGAGCCCAGAUGUAGAAUAUUCGCAUCCAUAUUUGGUGCCUUGUUCUUUUGGGUUGUUUGUUUCCCACGUCUUAUUUAGGCUCUUUGUGAUCGGGAGGUAACUGACCUUUCUGUUUGGUUGCGAAUAAGAUAUACAAUCUCUACUCCUNNNNNNNNNNNNNNNNNNNNNNNNNNNNNNNNNNNNNNNNNNNNNNNNNNNNNNNNNNNNNNNNNNNNNNNNNNNNNNNNNNNNNNNNNNNNNNNNNNNNNNNNNNNNNNNNNNNNNNNNNNNNNNNNNNNNNNNNNNNNNNNNNNNNNNNNNNNNNNNNNNNNNNNNNNNNNNNNNNNNNNNNNNNNNNNNNNNNNNNNNNNNNNNNNNNNNNNNNNNNNNNNNNNNNNNNNNNNNNNNNNNNNNNNNNNNNNNNNNNNNNNNNNNNNNNNNNNNNNNNNNNNNNNNNNNNNNNNNNNNNNNNNNNNNNNNNNNNNNNNNNNNNNNNNNNNNNNNNNNNNNNNNNNNNNNNNNNNNNNNNNNNNNNNNNNNNNNNNNNNNNNNNNACACAGAGAUUUUUCCAGCGCGAACCAAUCAAACAAACAAUCAAUCGAUAAUUUCUGUAUAAGAGAAAACAUCAAUCGAACAAUCAAGACUCUCCGGAUACAACACCAAUCAAGACUUUCCAUACAAAAUUUUCUCCUGGACGAACAAUCAAGACUCUUUCCUUCUAAUCAACAUUGCGUUAUUCUGAAUCUCCCGUAGCCCCAUCGAUUUUUAUCCAUCGCGGGCGUCCCCCACCGGUUUUUUAGGACGCCAGCUUCCCCCACCGGUUUUUCUAAUCAACACUUUCCUUCUAAUCAGCAAACGAUCAAAGUUGGGUACCGAAGAGAAGCGAACAAUGCGAUUCCUAAGGCUCACGUUUUCAGUACAUAAGUUGAUGCUCCUUGCAAUGGACAGUAGCUCACGUUUUUCUGUACAUAAGUUGAUGCUCCUUGCAAUUGACAGUAGCCCACGUUUGUUUCUUUUUUGAACAAGCUCCAGCACAUGGGCAAGAUGAAGAUUAGAGAAGACAGUUAAGGCAGGAAAGGAUACACGAGGAUUGAGAGGGCUGGCAGGAGGAAGUCUACAAUCCACAUCAAAGCUCGCACCACAACGACAAAGAUGAAUGAGGCAAGCGUGGUUACUAAUACUUCUGCCGGAAGUUCAUUCUUUAUGGGCCCAUGUUAAUUAGGUCUUCAAGAAAUUAAUUCUAGCCUUUUGAUACUCUCUCUCUCUCUCUCUCUCUCUCUCUCUCUCUCUCUAAAAUAACCUUAUAUGUAGAUUGUUGGAGUGCAUGGGCACAUGGUUCGUAGAUGCAUAUGCAGGACGUUUGCUCUGCAGCUCGUGUCAUCAAUCAUCAUGCAGAAGAUGAGUUUGUAUGGUUGUGAAUUUUAAUCCUUCCAUGGUGGUGUUCUUCAAGAUUCGUUUGGCGCUACCGUCAGCGGGCUUAUAAUUCAUCAUCUUCUACAUCAAGUACAAUGGCUAAUUGUAAUGGUCAACUCUGCAAAAAAAUUCCUCAUGAUCAAUUCUCUGCAUUUUGUGGACAUCAAGUAAUAUUAUAGUAAAUGGUAAAAGCUGAUCCUAUAAUCUUCAGUUGCGUGCUUGCGAUAUUGAGUAGGUCUUUGUAUUUAAAUAUAGUAGUUAUUGUAUGAUGGAAUUUUGAGCUCAAAAAGUACGUAUCCAUUUUCUUCAUAUAUGGUAGAACGUGUAGGAUUGAACAUUAUGUCUCCUCAUAUGUUGCUCCUGUCAAGAAUAAGUAUACCACUCGCGGUAUUCUGAUUCUGCUAAUUCAUUUCCACACUAAACAUAAGGCCUUGUUCUAUAUCUUUUUAGGUAUCUUCUUUUUGUCACAUGAGCAAUUUCUAAAUUUUACAAAGUGCACCAAAACUUAUAGGUCUUUGGCUAGUUGCAAAACUGGAUAUUUUUGUUUUGUUUAAUUUUGUACAGACGUGUUGCUGAUUCUACGGCGGCAACGACCAUAUGAUCAUUUGAUGGCAGCAAGUUCAAGUAAUAGUUUGAAACAUUCAGGAAAUAGUUAGCUUUAGAUGUAAAUAAUGUAUACUAUGUAAAAAUAUUGGUUGAGAAUUUAGAUUUGUUGGACCUUGUUUGCCAUGGAGCUACGGGCGACCGAUUUUCAUGAAGUUAUUUCCCACAGUCGUGGUGGCAAAUAUAAUGGGAUGUGAAUAAGGUGUAUGUCAGAUGAUAGAAGUCAAAUAUGAGGCAUUAUCAUCCACAAAAUAGAAAAUUCUGCAUGGGAAUAUAUGUAUAUGCUUUCAUACAUACAAUUGAGAAUUAUUAUUUGUACAACUGGGAUUAAAUUAAUUGAUGUGGGGAAUUGGAGGUCCUUGAGUAAUCGGUUGCACAAGGUAGAAAAUAACAUAGAUGGGAUAUGGUCCAGGGCCAAAUAAAGAUCAAAAUUUAGGUGGUGUGGAUGUGUCCGAGAGGGGGGAGGAGUAGGAGGUUGAUUUGAUGGUAACAAAUUGUAGCCACUGCCACUUCAUAUGUAUGAGAACACUAAACAUACGUAUUAUCGACAAGAUUAAUAUUGAAUUAUUCAAAUUUUUGUGACCUCAUUGCAACAACUGCAUAUAUAUUUAUUUUCUAGAAAUCUUUGCUUUUUUGCAUUUUCCGUUGUUUUGCUUACUACAAGUAACAUGACUAUCAUAUGAUUUUGUUCUAUUUGUGAAGAUGUAGAAGUGAGAGGAGGAAUUGCGAAUUUUGAACGAGUAUUAGUUUGUGGCUCAUUGAUGAAGAUUGAAUGCACUACUUUGUAACAGUACCAAGCAGCUAAUUGUGCUAUAAAUUUAAGCCUAUCAAAAGCAAAAAUGGAAGUUAGGUCUCCUGUGACAUGGUGAGGGCACUCAUGCCUUGAGCUUGCUAUGUAGAAUUAUUUGCCAUUUAUAUUUAUGUAGAAGUGUGAAGUAUAGAUAUACUAUAUUCAGUAUUUGACUUCUUUAUAUACAUCUAAUGGAAAUUAAGUGAUGUCAUGGUCAACAAACACGAAUUAGGGUCAUUCCUUUUGUUGCUAAGAUACAAUGCAUGGUUUGUUUAUCCGUUCAAAUUGAACCUACCAUGAUGGUUCCAAUUUUUGUGUCCUACCUCCUUUUGGAGGUCUACUUCAUAUUCUAAUUCGAAUAGUCUGGUCCAUUAGUGCUUUUAGGAAGGGGAUGAAAUGCUAAGAUGAUUUAACUAUUGAACUUGGAAAAUAUAUGUUUGAGAUUCUUUUUACCGAAAUAAAAUUUUCAAUGUAAAAGGAUUCAUUUGAAUAGAUACCCGAUUAGAGUAUGCAGUGUUUACAUAUAUUUUGUAAAUCAAGGGACACUCUCUGUGUUUGGAUGUAGGGUUAUUAGGUUAAUUUUAUUGGAAGGAAAAAAAUAUGAUUUUAAGAGGGUAUUAAGCUGGAAUUUCAUAUCAGGAUGCGACCCUAUAGGCAAGAAGGCACGCACUCUAUGGGAAAAACUUCAAUUAGGAUGUGUCCCUCUAGGCAGGAAGGCAUGGACUCAACAACACAAAAUUCAGUCAGGAUGUAGCUCUUUAGGUAGGGAUGGCACCCAUCCAGCAACUAUAACAUCAAUCAAGAUGGAUUCAAACAGUGUGAUGAGUUAUUGGAUGACAUAAUACUGUUAGGAUGUUGGUUGAUGGUGGUACUCUAGCUUCAACCAAACUCCGGCUCAUCCAGUUCAGGUUCACUAUUCAUCAGUUUUAGUGCUACUUAUUCCUAUUUGGAUUAUACUUGUUGCAUAAAAUUAAUGAAUCAGGAAACUCCUUUUUUGUAUGGUUAGGGUCCUCGGGUUGUUCGGAAUUUGAUACAACCAUCUAAUCCAUGAUUGUUCUUGGACGUCAUAUUUAAAACAUAUAAAAUUUUGGAUUUUGUAAAUGUUGUGGAUAACAAGACGGUGAGAGGUGAUAGUUCAGUUAGACUCACUCACUUAUAUUAUGCGGCAUAUGUGGAUGGGGGUUGGGUGGUCAUUUUAGGUAUGACUGUCUGAGUGGAAUAAUGACUUUACUUUAGCUGUGGCAAAUUGCAUUUCAUUAUAGAUGGCUUUGCAACAAGUUGAAUGAGCGGUUCAUGUAUAUUUUUGUUUGGUUAGGAUGGAUGGGUAAAUGCAUUGGUUGGUUGCUUCAAGAGUUAAUAAUGGACAUCAUCGUACUUUUGUUUUGUGGUAAUGCAAGAGAUUCAACUAUAUGUUACAACAUGGCAAUGUGUAACGCCCCGGUUUCGAUGCGCCAGGUGUCUUCCAGUUAUUCGUCAUUGUUGCCAUAUCAUUUGCUUGCGUGUUGCAUUUUGCCAUGUCAUCAUCUGCAUUUCAUGUGCAUGUUUUUCAAAACUUGCAUCCGUUCGGGUCCUCCCAGUUCUCUCUGUUGUCAGUUCUGAGCCCAACCACACUCGCACGCGCCCGUUGCCCCUCUCCGACCUCGUUUCGUGAGUGGCAUAAAAAUGUUCUCGGAAUGGGAUGAAAGUUGGUGUGCGGUCUUAUUAUAGUGUAGGUAGACCGCCGGUCAAAUUUCGUCGCAUUCGGAGUCCGUUUGGUAGCCCAACCGUCAUCCGUAGCGGCACCGUUGCCGGUACCUUCGUUGGGCGUUUUCGGUUUCCGAAAACCCGUGCCGGGCCGCACCUCAUCCAUCUCUUCUCAGCCCAAGGCAUUCUACACAGCCCACCUAGGCCAACAUACCCCCUCGCGUCUGGAGCCGUUGGACACCCUAGUCCCGAAAUCCCCCUAGACCCAAACCCUAGCAAAUCUGCUAUAUCUGGACACCCUAGUCCAUUUUUGGGCAACCUAGACCCCUCCCCUAACCUCCUGCCACAACCUCCACCCUCCUCCUCGCAUUCUGCGCCGUCCCAGUCAACCCCCACCACUUGGCGCCGCCGCCGUCGCACCCCGGACCAACCGCGACGUGCCACGUCGCCACCCCCGCACCUCGCAGCCACUCAGCCACCUCCACGUCGCCUCCCCUCGCCCCUCCAGCGUGCCAGGCCCGCCAGGCCCAGAUCCAGCUCGCAUGGCCCGGAUCCUGCGACGCCGCCCGAGCCUCCCUGGCCCCCCCGCGUCCGAGCGAGGAGCUCGCCCCGGAUCGCCGUCGUCCCGUCUUCGCCCAUCGCCCACGCGCCUCGGACAUCGCCGGCCACCGGAGCUCCUCCCCAUGGCCGGAUCUCGCCCCACCUCCGCGCCUCCUAGCCGAUCCCUCACCAUCACGUCGCCCCGGACGGCGCCGACCUCGCUGCCUCUCCGGAUCCGUCACUGUCGGCCGUCCUCGUGUUGCAGAACCCCGCCGCCGUUGGGAACGGGCCUCCCGCGCCCGGAUCCACCCGUCCCCGCCAAGUCCGGCGCCUCCCGGCGUCUGCCCCGCGUCGCCGGAGCCGCCGCCAGCCGCCGCUAGCGCCUCGCCGUGGCCUCGUUCGGCCUCCUGUGCGGGGGAGACGAUGAGCGCCAGCUUCCCCCCGCCUGGGCCGCCUCCUUGUGUGUGGGCCCUACUGCAGGCCCAGCAGCGCCAAGGCCAGCCCACCUCAGCCUCGGCCCUCCCCAUCGUCUUGGGCUCGGCCCAAUGGGUGAGCCCCGGUAUCCAACGCCCGUGCGUGAAUUAGUUAUCCCACGCGCGCUCCGUAUUUUUUUUCUAGAAAAACUGCCAAGUCCCCAGAUUCCUGGUUUAUGUGUGCAUCUUCAUCACAUAACUUCAUGCUCGGUGCUUCGAUUUGUUCAUAUAAUAUGUCAAAAUGUUCAUCGGGAGAUACUCUUCAUUUCAUUCCAUUGUGCCAUGCUUGUUUGAAUACAUCUUGAUGCUCUAAUCAUCAUUGCAAGAGUGCUAUAUGAUGUUAACUGCUGUCUGUUAACAGAACUUGAUGAUUUGUCUUUUUCAUUGCAUUUUGCGUGUGCAUCCUAUGAGCUUGAUGUCUACAUGAAUCUUGAGUUACAUCAUGCCAUUUUUACAGAGGUGCAAUCCAUGUAUUUUUGUGAGUCUUGUAGUGAGUGCAUCGAGUUCGUGAUGUAGGGUACUUGCUGUUACUGUUGUGCUAGGCUGAAUCUGCUAUAUCAUGAUGCUAUGUAAACCUGCUGCUACAAGUCAUUCUAUUCAUAAUCUGGAGAUGUUCAUUAAGGAUGUUUUGUUAUACAUGUCAUGCUCUAUCCAUCCAUGCCCCUGCUUGCAUUUAUAGCCUGCUGUAGCUUGUUGUAAUCUUGCUCUCGUAAUGUUGCUGUCAGCCUGUUAACAUUGAGUCCAGUUUUGCCAUGUGUUUUGCUAGUGAUCCAUGUACCCUAUGAACUUUAUCUUGCCAUGCUUAGCUUCAUAAAUAUGUCAUCUUACUGUUGGUCACCUUGUCAUGCCAUGUAUUGCUUUAUGGUGAGUGGUACAAUCUCUCCAACAUGCCUACUUAUCGUUGUUCCUGCCAUGUCUGAAUCUGUCAUAUCACUUGCCAUGUUUGCAUGGAUGCUACCAUCUUUUCUGUUGAUCUUUGGAAUUAGUUCAGUAAGGGAGUUUUGUUCUUUGUCUUUAUUAUUAGCAUGACAUGCCUUUGUUUGCCAUGAUAGCUUCCUAUAUCAUGUUGUUUGAUAGCUCUAAACAUUGCAACCUGAUGUUAUUUCUGCUAAGUCUGUAAACUGUUAUUAUUUGCAAACUUGUCAUGUCCUUUUGAGCAUGUUCUAGUGUUUUCUGGAGAUAGCUCAGUGUUCAUGUUUUGUCAUGCUUUACCUGUACUUCAUGCCCAUGCCUUUUGUUCUUAUGUUGAGGUGUUGUAGCAUAUUGUUUUGAUGCUUGCUAGAUGCCUAGUUGCUGUUUUGGACAGUUUGUCCUUUAAACUUGUAUAGAGUGUAUGUGUUGAACCGUUGCUCCGUUUUGAGUGUGCUCUAUAUGAAACUUGCUUGAUUUUGCAUGAAGUUUCAUAUUAUCAUAUUGCAUCCAUGUUUUGAGAGUGUUUGCUUGAUGUUUGUAUGCAUUUUGCAUCAAUGCCAUGUUUAACUUGUUCUGUUCAUAUCUUUUAGGCCAUAGCUCCGAAUUAAAUGAACUUUAUAUGUAACUUGACUAGAAUCUCGUGUAGAUCAUGUUGAUGCAUCUUAACUUUCUGUUUAACAACUUGAACAUAAGGUUUAUUCAGUUCUGGACCAAUUUCUAAAUUUGCAUAUGAGGACUUACCGGAAUUGUUAUAUGUUGUUUCCGGCCUCAUUUAACCUUGCUUUGAUGUGUUGCUCUUGUAUGCAUCAUCUCUUGCCAUGAGUAGCCUCAUAUAGCCUUUGUCAUGCAUCAUACUUGGUUGAGCAUCAUGUCAUGCUUAUGUGUUGUGUGUUUACCGUGGUGUUUGCUUCUUUCCGGUUGUGCUCCUUCUCGUUAGUUCCUGUUUCGUUGCGAUCGUGAGGAUUCGUUCGUCUAUGCUUGGUUCGUCUUCGUGGCUUCAUCUUCUUCAUGGACUCGUUCUUCUUCCUUACGGGAUUUCAAGCAAGAUGACCGUCACCUUGGAUCUUACNNNNNNNNNNNNNNNNNNNNNNNNNNNNNNNNNNNNNNNNNNNNNNNNNNNNNNNNNNNNNNNNNNNNNNNNNNNNNNNNNNNNNNNNNNNNNNNNNNNNGUAUGAGGCAAUACUUGCACGCACGGUCCAGGUGUUAAACUCACCGUCUCAGCUCCAUGCCCCACCCACGUGCCGGAGCCAGUUUAUGAUAAUAGUGUAACAGCAACGGUAGAGUACUUGUUGCAAAAAGGCAGCAAGGAUGUGCAGGAUUGUGGCGCGGAAGAAUCGCAAAUUCGGAAUGCAAUGCCUAAGAUUUACUCGAUAAAUCUUCCAACUAACAACUGCUAAAAGAAUUCAUUGGCCGAGAUUCUGUUCAAGUAGGCCCGGAAUUCGUGGACUGGAUCUGCUGCUUGCCGAAAUAUGCUCGCUUAACUAUGACAGGCAGAGAUGCAUACAAUGUCUUCUAGAGUAGUUAUUUUUUUCUUUGAAGCUAGGCUAGGAGUGUGUCCUAUUUGGAAAUAAGAAGGAAUUCCGGAGCCAAAAUCUUAGUACCUUUGAGGCGGCAGCGCAGCAGAGUCAUUCGAUCCAACCAAUACCUGGUAUCUGGUAUAGUUGAGAGCUUUGCUCUGCCGCCCCUCCCUCGCCGGCAGGGGACUAAACAGAGAAUGCAGCACUCUGUUUUUCCCUGAAACCUCUGUUAAAGAAGUAGCUUGUGCAUUUUCAGAAGCUUGUAACUUGUAAGAAGCUUACCAAUGCGCCCGCCGUCCAUUGAGUAUGUUGAGACCAUUCUGAACCCCCAACAUAAACACAACUAAUAUGCAGCAGCAUGUGACACUACAUGGCAUGUGCUAGUCCCUGGUUUCCAUACAACAGUUUACAAUUGAGGUCUUGCAGCAUAUACUCCCUCCGUACCAAAAUAUAUGUCGCUGGAGAAGUUGAACUACACUUGCUUCAACGACGUAUAUUUCGGUACAGAGGAAGUAGAUAAGUACAUCUUUUCAAGCUAAAACUAAGAAGAAACAUAAAAAAAAAUUGGCAGAUGUAAUUCGUGAUGCUAGGAUGGACUGCAGGGAGUCCCAUCUAUCUGUCCUUACAUCAUCUUCCACUUGAGACCCCUGUUCAAGAAUUCAUCUGAUUAACCAGUUAACUUGCCGAUUAAUCUCUACUCGUAGGGUCACUGAGUAGCCGAUUAACCGAUUAAUCGCCCGAGUAAUUGAUUAAAUGACCGAUUAACUUGCCGAUUAGCCUAUUAAUCCCCUACUCGUCAGCCAACCGAGCAGCUACCAGUUAACGAUUUUCUCAACAAUGCUUGAGACAAAGAAGCAGAAGCUGAACGCUGACGGAUGUCUCCCGCAACUAAGAUUCUGAUGCGUCAUGGCAUAAUACUCAGUUCUGCACCGAUAGGAGCACACAGAACCGAGUUUUAUCUGUGCGCAAAUGACCAGAUGGAGCAGAGUUUGUGGAAGAAAUGUGGACCUUAGAUUGGAAGGAUGACAGGUAGGAUCUACCUGUAAGUGUAGGGACUAGAACAAGUAGGAAAUCUGAACAUUUUUCUCUUCUCUCACACCCCUAUCUGUUGCCAAGCAAGAUCUUUGCUGGAUGCAAAACACGAUGUUGCAUGCUAUCUAAAGAUCGUGUUCUGUAUCCAGCAAAGAUCGUGUUAUAACUUAUAAGUGCCUGCGAGCUGUAUUUCCAGUAACGGACCCUAUCUGUAUUGUUUUACACCAUUAUGCACAUCUUCAACUCAAUAACAGUGCAUAGAAUUAUAGAAAUAAAAAUGGUCAGGUUCAAAAUUGAGCUACACACAAGGAACUUCUUUGCACAAGCAACUAACCAGUAACCAGGCAGUAUGUUUCCUGCCAUUGCCAAUGCUGGCGAAAGCCGGCAAGGAUCUCCAAGGUCGGCACCGGGAAAAGAUUAAGGAUUGGAGAGCAUCACCGGCAGACAAGAAAGACGCGAGCAGCAUCAGCAUGGUAAGGGUACAGCAGAUCAACUAGGCCUCUCCACUGGUUCUGCUAGUACCGACAGUGCCCUCCGCUUCCUGUCAUCCUCCAGUAACCAGGGGCCCUUAUGGUCCUCCAAGGGCAUGUUUGGUUGCCGUGUGCAACAAUGCCUGCAUCGCAUACACUUCUCUACUCAGCCUGAUUCUGAAAAAAACAACCUCAUAUGCGACGUCUGCGAGUUGUUUGUUUGCCUGCAUAUGAACUUUCUGCAUUAGAAGGACAACCAAACAUCGUCUAGUUGCAUGCACCGAGACAAUGCAGGCAACCAAACGGGCCACUUUCUUCCCGCGCGGGCCAGGCUGGGCUUAGUGCGGGCAACCAAACACGCCCCAAGGCUCUCAAAUUCAAUGUGCAUCACCCUUGACUUCCUAUCAAGAGGUUUGGCGUGCGGGGCAUGUGCUCUCUGGUCGCGGAACACACCGUACUAUAGGAAGAAGUGGAUGCACAUACUCCCUCCGUUUUUAUUUACUCUACAUAUUAGAGUUGACUGAAGUCAAACUUCGUAAAAUUUGACCAAAUUUAUAAAAAUAUAUAUAAGCAUUUGCAGUAACAAAUAUAUAUGAUGUGAAUAAUAAAUCUGAUAGUAUUUAUUUGUUAUAAUAUAUAUUGAUAUUUUUAUUUAUGAACUUGAUUAAGCUUGACUUUGAUCAAACCUAAUAUGCCGACUAAAUAAAAACGGAGGGAGUACUAUCAAACAACAACUCCCAAAGGCCUGCAACCAUCACGAAGAAAACAACGGUGAACAAGAACAAAAGGCAGACGAAUACCACACCCGAACCUUGGCCAGCGGUGAGAGAGAAAAUCAAGAACAGGCAGAACCGAAGAAAAAAGGAAAUCCCCGAGCAAGUGCAAAAGAUCAGAUCAGUCAACGAGUGCAUCAAACCGUAUAAAUAACCAAAAGCAAGACCAUAGUUAAAGUCUGGUCAGCCGACGACAAAGCAAACAACACGGCGACGGAUGAUGCGAAAGAAACACCAACGAGCGAGAAACCGCCCACGAAGCUCCGGCAGAGAGAGCUACGAAGCGAAGCGAAAGGAAGACGACCGUGCACCAUGGCCGAUGUGCGGCGCCAAACGACAAACUUAUAAGAGGAUGAAACCGACAUAAGAAAAUGACCAAAACGCCCACGGCAAAAACUUGGAGGAGAAGGCAGCCACCACGCACAGACCUACUCCAAAGACUUGACCCCAAAGGUGAUUGUCUACAAAGCACACCCCACGUAGGCCGGGCGUGCAACAUUCAUGCCAUGAGCCGGGUGCGCGCACAGGCCCGGCUAGACAGCGCCUAGCCAAUAGGGCAGCACACGAUGGAACCGGAUCCGCGGUGCCACAGUGUUUGCCUAGCGUAAAAUGAAGAAGAAAAGUUAGGGACUCUUAGUAGAUAGUAGUUAGUAGGUUGUUUACUGUUGGUAUUUACUGUAGAUAUAAAUAAUUUAAAAUUAAUUUUAUUUCACCAUCAAUUUGUUUGUAUGUAAUUACUAUAAAUGUACACGGUAGAUCAUCAAUUUGCAAAUUAAUUUAAAUCGUUUUAGCUAUAAUCAUAUGGAUAGAAAGAAGGAAAGUUAGGGUAUUAUAGCUUCUCUAACUUUCCUUUUCAAUGUUAGAGGAUCUGGUUCCGCACACGAUGUACCCGGCAUGGCGCCAACGACCCUAAGGGCAUGUAUGUUGGAAAUAUGCCCUAGAGGCAAUAAUAAAUUGAUUAUUAUUAUAUUUCCUUGUUCAUGAUAAUCGUUUAUUAUCCAUGCUAGAAUUGUAUUGAUAGGAAACUCAGAUACAUGUGUGGAUACAUAGACAACACCAUGUCCCUAGUAAGCCUCUAGUUGACUAGCUCGUUGAUCAAUAGAUGGUUACGGUUUCCUGACCAUGGACAUUGGAUGUCGUUGAUAAUGGGAUCACAUCAUUAGGAGAAUGAUGUGAUGGACAAGACCCAAUCCUAAGCAUAGCACUAGAUCAUGUAGUUCGUAUGCUAAAGCUUUUCUAAUGUCAAGUAUCAUUUCCUUAGACCAUGAGAUUGUGCAACUCCCGGAUACCAUAGGAGUGCUUUGGGUGUACCAAACGUCACAACGUAACUGGGUGACUAUAAAGGUGCACUACGGGUAUCUCCGAAAGUGUCUGUUGGGUUGGCACGAAUCGAGACUAGGAUUUGUCACUCCGUGUAAACGGAGAGGUAUCUCUGGGCCCACUCGGUAGGACAUCAUCAUAAUGUGCACAAUGUGACCAAGGGGUUGAUCACGGGAUGAUGUGUUACGGAACGAGUAAAGAGACUUGCCGGUAACGAGAUUGAACAAGGUAUCGGUAUACCGACGAUCGAAUCUCGGGCAAGUACAAUACCGUUAGACAAAGGGAAUUGUAUACGGGAUCGAUUGAGUCCUUGACAUCGUGGUUCAUCCGAUGAGAUCAUCGUGGAACAUGUGGGAGCCAACAUGGGUAUCCAGAUCCCGCUGUUGGUUAUUGACCGGAGAGUCAUCUCGGUCAUGUCUGCAUGUCUCCCGAACGCGUAGGGUCUACACACUUAAGGUUCGAUGACGCUAGGGUUAUAAAGGAAGUUUGUAUGUGGUUACCGAAUGUUGUUCGGAGUCCCGGAUGAGAUCCCGGACGUCACGAGGAGUUUCGGAAUGGUCCGGAGGUAAAGAUUUAUAUAUGGGAAGUCCUGUUUUGGUCGCCGGAAAAGUUUCACACUUUAUCGGUAUUGUACCGGGAGUGCCGAAAGGGGUCCGGGGGUCCACCGGGGGGGUCCACCUGCCCCGAGGGGCCACAUGGGCUGUAGGGGGUGCGCCUUGGCCUAUAUGGGCCAAGGGCACCAGCCCCAAGAGGCCCAUGCGCCAAGGAAACUUGGGGAGGGAAGAGUCCUCAAAGGGGAAGGCACCUCCGAGGUGCCUUGGGGAGGAUGGACUCCUCCCCCCCCUCUUGGCCGCACCCCUUCCUUGGAGGAAGGGGCAAGGCUGCGCCUCCCCCCUCUCCCUUGCCCCUAUAUAUAGUGGAGGGGAGGGAGGGCAUCCAUACCUGAGUCCCUGGCGCCUCCCUCCCUCCCGUGACACCUCCUCCUCUCCCGUAGGUGCUUGGCGAAGCCCUGCAGGAUUGCCACGCUCCUCCACCACCACCACGCCGUUGUGGUGCUGCUGGAUGGAGUCUUCCUCAACCUCUCCCUCUCUCCUUGCUGGAUCAAGGCAUGGGAGACGUCACUGGGCUGUACGUGUGUUGAACGCGGAGGUGUCGUCCGUUCGGCACUAGGAUCUCUGGUGAUUUGGAUCACGACGAGUACGACUCCUUCAACCCCGUUCUCUUGAACGCUUCUGCUUAGCGAUCUACAAGGGUAUGUAGAUGCACUCUCCUUCCCCUCGUUGCUGGUCUCUCCAUAGAUAGAUCUUGGUGACACGUAGGAAAAUUUUGAAUUUCUGCUAUGUUCCCCAACAGUGGCAUCAUGAGCUAGGUCUUUGCAUAGUUACUAUGCACGAGUAGAACACAAAGUAGUUGUGGGCGUUGAUUUUGUUCAAUAUGCUUGCCGUUACUAGUCUUAUCUUGAUUCGGCGGCAUCGUGGGAUGAAGCGGCCCGGACCGACCUUACACGUACUCUUACGUAAGACUGGUUCCACCGACAAACAUGCACUAGUUGCAUUAGGUGGCUGGCGGGUGUCUGUCUCUCCCACUUUAGUCGGAUCGGAUUCGAUGAAAAGGGUCCUUAUGAAGGGUAAAUAGCAAUUGGCAUAUCACGUUGUGGUUUUUGCGUAGGUAAGAAACGUUCUUGCUAGAAACCCAUAGCAGCCACGUAAAACAUGCAAACAACAAUUAGAGGACGUCUAACUUGUUUUUGCAGGGUAUGCUAUGUGAUGUGAUAUGGCCAAAGGAUGUGAUGAAUGAUAUAUGUGAUGUAUGAGAUUGAUCAUGUUCUUGUAAUAGGAAUCACGACUUGCAUGUCGAUGAGUAUGACAACCAGCAGGAGCCAUAGGAGUUGUCUUAAUUUAUUUAUGACCUGCGUGUCAACAUAAACGUCAUGUAAUUACUUUACUUUAUUGCUAACCGUUAGCCAUAGAAGUAGAAGUAAUAGUUGGGGAGGCAACUUCAUGGAGACACGAUGAUGGAGAUCAUGAUGAUGGAGAUCAUGGUGUCAUGCCGGUGACGAUGAUGAUCAUGGAGCCCCGAAGAUGGAGAUCAAAAGGAGCAAUAUGAUAUUGGCCAUAUCAUGUCACUAUUUGAUUGCAUGUGAUGUUUAUCAUGUUUAUACAUCUUAUUUGCUUAGAACAACGGUAGUAAAUAAGAUGAUCCCUCAUUAAAAUUUCAAGAAAGUGUUCCCCCUAACUGUGCACCGUUGCGACAGUUCGUUGUUUCAAUGCACCACGUGAUGAUCGGGUGUUUGAUCCAAACGUUCACAUACAACGGGUGUAAGACAGAUUUACACAUGCAAACACUUAGGUUAACUUGACGAGCCUAGCAUGUGUAUAGACAUGGCCUCGGAACACAGAAGACCGAAAGGUCGAGCAUGAGUCGUAUAGAAGAUACGAUCAACAUGAAGAUGUUCACCGACGUUGGCUAGUCCGUCUCACGUGAUGAUCGGACACGGCCUAGUUGACUCGGAUCAUGUAAUCACUUAGAUGACUAGAGGGAUGUCUAUCUGAGUGGGAGUUCAUAAGAUGAACUUGUUUAUCCUGAACAUAGUCAAAAGGAUUUUGCAAAUUAUGUCGUAGCUCGCGCUUCAGUUCUACUGUUUAGAUAUGUUCCUGGAGAAAAUUUAGUUGAAAGUUGAUAGUAGUAAUUAUGCGGACUAGGUCCGUAAACUGAGGUUUGUCCUCAUUGCUUCAUAGAAGGCUUAUGUCCUUAAUGCACCGCUCAGUGUGCUGAACCUCGAACGUUGUCUGUGGAUGUUGCGAAUAUCUGACAUACACAUUUUGAUAACUACGUGAUAGUUCAGUUAAACGGUUUAGAGUUGAGGCACCAAAGACGUUUUGAAACGUCGCGAAACAUAUGAGAUGUUUCGAGGGCUGAAAUUGGGAUUUCAGGCUCCUGCCCACGUCAAGAGGUAUAAGACCUCCGACGAUUUUCUUAGCCUACAAACUAAGGAGAAAAGCUCAAUUGUUGUGCUUGUGAUCAGAUUGUCUGGUACAACAAUCAUUUGAAUCAAGUGGGAGUUGAUCUUCCAAAUGAGAUAGUGAUGUUUCUCCGAAGUCAUUACCACCAAGCUGCUAGAGCUUCGUGAUGAACUAUAACAUAUCAGGGAUAGAUAUGAUGAUCCUUGAAAUACUCGCGAUGUUUGACACCGCGAAAGUAGAAAUCAAGAAGGAGCAUCAAUUGUUGAUGGUUAGUGAAACCACUAGUUUUAAGAAGGGCAUGGGCAAGAAGGGAUACUUCAUGAAACGGCAAAUCAGCUGCUGCUCUAGUGAAGAAACCCAAGGUUGAACCCAAACCCGAGACUAAGUGCUUCUGUAAUAAAGGGAACAGCCACUGGAGCAGAAUUACCCUAGAUACUUGGUAGAUAAGAAGGCUGGCAAGGUCGAUAGAAGUAUAUUGGAUAUACAUUAUGUUAAUGUGUACUUUACUAGUACUCCUAGUAGCACCAGGGUAUUAGAUACCGGUUCGGUUGCUAAGUGUUAGUAACUCGAAAUAAAAGCUACGGAAUAAACGGAGACUAGCUAAAGGUGAGCUGACGAUAUGUGUUUCCAAGGUUGAUAUGAUCAAGCAUCGCACGGUCCCUCUACCAUCGAGAUUGGUAUUAAAACCUAAAUAAUUGUUAUUUGGUGUUUGCGUUGAGCAUAGACAUGAUUGGAUUAUGUCUAUCGCAAUACGGUUAUUCAUUUAAGGAGAAUAAUGGUUACUCUGUUUAUUUGAAUAAUACCUUCAAUGGUCUUGCACCUAAAAUGAAUGGUUCAUUGAAUCUCGAUCAUAGUGAUACACAUGUUCAUGCCAAAAGAUAUAAGAUAGUAAUGAUAGUACCACCUACUUGUGGCACUGCCACGUAAGUCAUAUCGGUAUAAAACGCAUGAAGAAGCUCCAUGUUGAUGGAUCUUUGGGCUCACUCGUUUUUGAAAAGUUUGAGGCAUUAGAACCAUGUCUAUUGGUGUAUAUGCAUGAAGAAACUCCAUGCAAAUGGAGCAUUUGGACUCACUUGAUUUUGAAUCACUUGAGACAUGCAAAUCAUACCACAUGGGCAAGAUGACUGAAAGCCUCGUUUUCAGUAAAAUGGAACUAGAAAGCAACUUGUUGGAAGUAAUACAUUUUGAUGUGUGCAGUCCAAUGAGUGCUGAGGCAUGUAGUGGAUAUCGUUAUGUUCUUACUUCACAGAUGAUUUGAGUAGAUGUUGAGUAUAUUUACUUGAUGAAUCACGAGUCUGAAGUAUUGAAAGGUUCAAGUAAUUUCAGGGUGAAGUUGAAAGAUCGUCGUGACAAGAGGAUAAAAUAUCUAUGAUAUGAUCAUAGAGAUGAAUAUCUGAAUUACGAGUUUGGCACAGAAUUAAGACAUUGUGGAAAUUGUUUCACAACUAAUACAGCCUGGAACACCAUAGUGUGAUGGUGUGUCUGUACAUCAUAACUGCACCCUAUUGGAUAUGAUGCGUACCAUGAUGUCUCUUAUCGAAUUACCACGAUAGUUUAUGGGUUAGGCAUUAGAGACAACCACAUUCACUUUAAAAGGGGCACCACGUAAUUCCGAUGAGACGACACCGUAUGAACUAUGGUUUAGAGAAACCUAAGCUGUCAUUUCUUAAAAGUUUGGGGCUGCGGCGCUUAUGUGAAAAGGUUUCAGGCUGAUAAGCUCGAACCCAAAGCGGAUAAAUGCAUCUUCAUAGGACACCCAAAAUAGUUGGGUAUACCUCCUGCCUCAGAUCCGAAAGCAAUAAGGGAUUGUUUCUGGAAUCGGGUCCUUUCUCGAGGAAAAGUUUCUCUCGAAAGAAUUGAGUGGGAGGAUGGUGGAGACUUGAUGAGGUUAUUGAACCGUCUCUUCAACUAGUGUGUGGCAGGGCACAGGAGUUGUUCCUGUGGCACCUACACCAAUUGAAGUGGAAGCUUAUGAUAGUGAUCAUGAAACUUCAGAUCAAGUCACUACCAAACCUCGUAGGAUGACAAGGAUGCGUACUAAUUCAGAGUGGUACGUAAUCCUGUCUUGGAAGUCAUGUUGCUAGACAACAAUGAACCUACGAGCUAUGGAGAAGCGAUGGUGGGCCCGGAUUCCGAUAAAUGGCUCGAGGCCAUAAAAUCCGAGAGAGGAUCCAUGUAUGAAAACAAAGUGUAGACUUUGGCAGAACGGCUCGAUGGUCGUAAGGCUGUUGAGUACAGAUGGAUUUUAAAAGGAAGACGGACAAUGAUGGUAAGUAUCACCAUUAAGAAAGCUCGACUUGUCAUUAAGAUUUUUUUUUCCGACAAGUUCAAGGAGUUGACUAUGAUGAGACAUUCUCACUCGUAGCGAUGCUAAGAGUCUGUUGGAAUUAUAUUAGCGAUUACUGCAUUAUGAAAUCUUGCAGAUAGGAUGUCAAAACAUUGUUUCCUCGACGAUUUUCUUGAGGAAAGGUUGUAUGUGAUACAACUGGAAGGUUUUGUCAAUCCUGAAAGAUGCUAAUAAGUAUGCAAAGCUCCAGUAAUCCUUCUAAGGACUGGAGUAAGCAUCUCGAAGUUGGAAUGUAUGCUUUGAUAAGAUGAUCAAAGUUUUGGGUGUAUACAAAGUUUAUGAGAAACUUGUAUUUCCAAAGAAGUGAGUGGGAACACUAUAGAAUUUCUGAUAAAUAUAUGUUGACAUAUUGUUGAUCAGAAAUGACGUAGAAUUUCUGGAAAGCAUAUAGGGUUAUUUGGAAAGUGUUUUCAAUGGAAAGCCUGGAUUAAGCUACUUGAACGUUGAGCAUCAAGAUCUAUAAGGAUAGAUCAAAACGCUUAAUGGUACUUUCAAAUGAGCAUAUACCUUGACAUGAUCUUGAAGGUGUUCAAGAUGGAUCAGUCAAAGAAGGAGUUCUUGCCUGAGUUGUAAGGUAUGAAGCUAAGACUUAAAGCUCGACCACGGCAAAAUAGAAAGGACGAAGGUCGUCCCCUAUGCUUAAGACGUAGGCUCUACAGUAUGCUAUGCUGUGUACCGCACCUGAAGUGUGCCUUGCCAUGAGUCAGUCAAGGGGUACAAGAGUGAUCCAAGAAUGGAUCACAGGAUAGCGGUCAAAGUUAUCCUUAGUAACUAGUGGACUAAGGAAUUUUCUCGAUUAUUGAGGUGGUAAAGGAGUUCGUCGUAAAGGGUUACGUCGAUGCAAGCUUAACACCUAUCCGGAUAGCUCUGAGUAGAGAUACCGGAUACGUAUAAUGGAGCAACAAUUUAGAAUAGCUCCAAGUAGAACAGUUAUUUGGAAUAGCUCCAAAUAGAACGUGGUAGCUGCAUCUAGGAGAUGACAUAGAGAUUUGCGAAGUACAUACGGAUCUGAAUGUUUCAGACCCGUUGACUAUAACCUCUCUCACAAGCAUAACAUGAUCAAACCCAGAACUCAUUGAGUGCUAAUCACAUAGUGAUGUGAACUAGAUUAUUGACUCUAGUAAACUCUUUGGGUGUUAGUCACAUGGGGAUGUGACCUUGAGUGUUAAUCACACAUCGAUGUGAACUAGAUUAUUGACUCUAGUGCAAGUGGGAGACUGUUGGAAAUAUGCCCUAGAGGCAAUAAUAAAUUGAUUAUUAUUAUAUUUCCUUGUUCAUGAUAAUCGUUUAUUAUCCAUGCUAGAAUUGUAUUGAUAGGAAACUCAGAUACAUGUGUGGAUACAUAGACAACACCAUGUCCCUAGUAAGCCUCUAGUUGACUAGCUCGUUGAUCAAUAGAUGGUUACGGUUUCCUGACCAUGGACAUUGGAUGUCGUUGAUAACGGGAUCACAUCAUUAGGAGAAUGAUGUGAUGGACAAGACCCAAUCCUAAGCAUAGCACUAGAUCAUGUAGUUCGUAUGCUAAAGCUUUUCUAAUGUCAAGUAUCAUUUCCUUAGACCAUGAGAUUGUGCAACUCCCGGAUACCGUAGGAGUGCUUUGGGUGUACCAAACGUCACAACGUAACUGGGUGACUAUAAAGGUGCACUACGGGUAUCUUCGAAAGUGUUUGUUGGGUUGGCACGAAUCGAGACUGGGAUUUGUCACUCCGUGUAAACGGAGAGGUAUCUCUGGGCCCACUCGGUAGGACAUCAUCAUAAUGUGCACAAUGUGACCAAGGGGUUGAUCACGGGAUGAUGUGUUACGAAACGAGUAAAGAGACUUGCCGGUAACGAGAUUGAACAAGGUAUUGGUAUACCGACGAUCGAAUCUCGGGCAAGUACAAUACCGUUAGACAAAGGGAAUUGUAUACGGGAUCGAUUGAGUCCUUGACAUCGUGGUUCAUCCGAUGAGAUCAUCGUGGAACAUGUGGGAGCCAACAUGGGUAUCCAGAUCCCGCUGUUGGUUAUUGAUCGGAGAGUCAUCUCGGUCAUGUCUGCAUGUCUCCCGAACCCGUAGGGUCUACACACUUAAGGUUCGAUGACGCUAGGGUUAUAAAGGAAGUUUGUAUGUGGUUACCGAAUGUUGUUCGGAGUCCCGGAUGAGAUCUCGGACGUCACGAGGAGUUCCGGAAUGGUCCGGAGGUAAAGAUUUAUAUAUGGGAAGUCCUGUUUUGGUCGCCGGAAAAGUUUCGCACUUUAUCGGUAUUGUACCGGGAGUGCCGAAAGGGGUCCGGGGGUCCACCGGGGGGGUCCACCUGCCCCGGGGGGCCACAUGGGCUGUAGGGGGUGCGCCUUGGCCUAUAUGGGCCAAGGGCACCAGCCCCAAGAGGCCCAUGCGCCAAGGAAACUUGGGGAGGGAAGAGUCCUCAAAGGGGAAGGCACCUCCGAGGUGCCUUGGGGAGGAUGGACUCCUCCCCCCCUCUUGGCCGCACCCCUUCCUUGGAGGAAGGGGCAAGGCUGCGCCUCCCCCCUCUCCCUUGCCCCUAUAUAUAGUGGAGGGGAGGGAGGGCAUCCAUACCUGAGUCCGUGGCGCCUCCCUCCCUCCCGUGCACUACUAGAAAAACCCCUACUAAUGGCGCACCUAAUAUGGCCAUUAAUGGCGCAUCUGUGGUGCGCCAUUAAUAGCACGCCAUUAGUAAUUUUUACUAAUGGCGCACCACCUGGUGCGCCAUUAGCGUGCGCCAUUAGUAUAGGCCAGGGUGCGCCAUUAGUAUGCCUCCUAGGGGCCAUGUAUACCCAGGUGCUUUGGCAUACUAAUGGCGCACCACCACUGGAUGCGCCAUUAGUAACCGCGGCAUACUAAUGGCGCACUGCCCAGUGAUGCGCCAUUAGUAUGAAUAUUAGGUUUUUUUUAUUUUUUAUUUUCUGUUUUUUGCACAGGUUACAAAAUGUAUAAUUUGACAAAAUAUAGACAGCACACAUCAACAACAGAUUCAUCGAAUACAAUAGAAGAUUAGUCUUUGAAUACAAUUCAUCAUAUUAGUCUCCGAAUACAAUUCAUCAUAUUAGUCUCCGAAUUGAAAAGACCGAACAAAGAUAGAACAUUAUAUUACAAGUCUCGAGACCGCGAGUAGCGAGUUUGUCUUCACAUUACAAGUCGAUAUUGAUCAUCUAAACUACCAUCACAUAGAAGAGAGCUGCGGUCAUCACGAUGAGCAUCAUCACGAUGAAACUCGUCUUCAUCCGGUUCCUCCAACGCUCCCUCCCCUCUCCCGCUAGAUAGCAGGCGUAUCUAGAUUCGGCCUCGGCCCUAGUGGUGUACCCUUUGUAACUGUUACCGCUGAAUCGGUGAACCUGUCUCCGACACUCCUCCCAGUCAUCGUAGACUCCGGGAACCUUACCCUUGUACACGACAUACGUCGGCAUCACUAUGCACUAGCCAAACGAAACGUUAGUACCAAUUCACAGACAAUACAUAAGCAAUAUAUAAGUAUGCAACAGAACGAUCGGAAGAGAAAAGCAAGACAUUAAUAGCAUCGAUUACAUCUAAGUUGAACGACUCUCAAACCAAAGAGACAUACUACAAGUUCAUUAAAGUUUAAUUACAACAUGAGCCAAUCGAUGUUUCAGAACUAGACACAGCAUCACUGCUUUCGACUCGACUCAAGGGACCGGAGCGUGGAUGAAGCCGCCGUCUAUCGUGGGAGUCAUGAAACAACGGUCGUUGUCAGCCUGCAUUUGUAGCAUUGUGUCGAUGUCACUGUUGGACGGUUGAUUGUUGAGGUAGAACUGCCCCGAGGUACGAAGGACAUCUUGAUGGAUGAUUUCCGCAAACUCCGACUGGAUGCGAAAGAAGUCUUGUCGGAGGUCCGUGUCCUGGAUUGCCGACACGCUCUUUGCCCAAUCUUUGAGUUUACUCGGUAGCAGAAGUUGAUGAUGGUCCCGUACGAUCGCCCGCAUGUGAUGGAUGGCGUAGUAGGCACCCUUCUGACCUCCAGGCGGCUGCUUGACGCAGCAGAACAUCGUAUUGUGGGAGAACACGUGCUUGCCGUACUUACGAAUAGGCCUGGUGAAGGUGCCUCCAGAUUUGGCGUAGCCGGGGAGAACAUCAUCAAGAACCUUCUUGACAUUUGUGUAGUCUACGUUCGACUGACGGUCCGGGUCGAAAUACAUGGCCAUGGAAUAUUUGGGGCUUAGGAGGAUGAGCGUGCAACGUGUGUCACUGCAGAAAACACGGAAUGUUAAAAGAAAAACAAUCAAAAUGUAAGAAUUCAUAUGUUACGGGCCGGUUGAGGGGAGGACUUACUCAGGAAAGUAAGGCACGAGGAAGUUAUCCUUAUCUUGGUUUGCCAGAAUGAUGCCUUCGAGGUAAGAACUCGCGACUAGCCGGUCCCCAGCGCUGCCCAAGAUCUUGGCACGCAUGUAGAAGGGGUCGACUAUCACGAUGUCCGGGGUCUUGUCGCGAAUGAUCCGCAUCUCCAUACUCAGCGAAAAUAGCCGAACGAAGGUGUAGUGUAGCGGAUGAAGGUUCAACAUAGCGUGGAUGUCAUCAAAACGUAGGACGAUCGUACGCCCGAUGGAGUUAUCCACAAAGCCCUUGCCCUCUGGCACCUUGGCCGUGAAAACCGGGUAUGCCACAUCCUUCUCUCUGAGACGCCGCUUCUCCAAAGCAAGAACACUGUCAUGCAGACUCCGCAUAGCACCGGUUGCAGCAUUGAGCAUAUUUGUCGGUAGCAUCGCCCUACCCGCCACAUGCACCCUCCUCGAGAUAUCCUGCGGUGAAGGUGGCCCGUCCUGAGCACGGAUCGUACUCGGUGCCGGCUGGCUCGCACCCUUCUUAGUCUUUCUUUUGUGUGCCUUCUUCUUCUCCUGUAAUGGGACCGAGUUCUGCUCACAGACCACCUUCUUGAGUGUGUUGGGGCUGAUAAUAUUUCGCACCUCGCCUAUCUGAGGCUCGGUGAAGUCGGCAGCUGGAGGCGUCUCCUGAGAGCUGAACGCCAUACGGCGCCUGUUGCAACUUGGCUUCUCCGCGGUACCAGCUAGAUCGCACACGUCUUUUGUUGGGUUUGGUUCUUGAGAAGGAGGCCCCAUGAAGUCACCAUCGUACCCAUGAUCGGCAAAGUACUGAUCGACGUUGCCAAAUGUAUCAUCGUCGUCGUCGUCGUCGUUCUGAUCCUGUGCCAUAUGCAUGUUUGGAUCCAGUGGCAUAGGGAUGUCCGGCACCGUUACGGCGGUCUUGCCAUGGGGCCGACUUGGCGCCGGCACGACUGGCGGUGUUGUCUUUGGGGUGGUGUCCCCCGCCCCCAAACGAAUCUGGCUCUUCGGCCAAAGCAGGGGCCAGCUCAGGCAGGCGCUGAGGGUCACCACGUCUUCAUCGUCGGCCCCGACGGGUCGAAUCGGAGGUAACAAGUCAUCGCAGCCUGGCAGCACCCGAACCAGUUGAACCCUAAACAAGUUGGGUGGCAUCUGGGUACCGUGGAACAAGGGGUUGCCCGGUUGAACGAUUUUGCCCUUGGCGACAUCGACCAACUCGUUGUUCACGAAGUGGAGGAGAGUGCACGGAACGUCGGCGGCGCCCUGCGAAAACAUGUAGGGCGUCAGGGAUGCCCAGUCAAAGGCAAGGAGAUGAAGUCCUCGGCCGAGAGAGGCUUAAUUAGUUACCGUGAUGAUGGCGUCGAGCUCGGCUAAUGUCGACGCACCGCCAACGGCCGGCGUGCAGUUGACGAAGGGGCCGCUUGCUGAAGAGGUGCCGCCCGGCGUACACCCGGGUGCAUUAAGCUCCCGUGCCGGCGUCAGAGACACCAAUGCCGCCUCCGCCGGAGGCACCAAUGGCCCCGCCAUCGCAUUAUGCGAGUUGCUGGCCGUGAAGCUAGGAAUCGGGGGCGGCCCCUGUUGGCCGCCCGCAAUCCACGCACUCAACCCCGAGAUCAAGGUAGGCACAAUGGUGAUGAUCGUCGCUCCGAGUCGUUGUUCCACUUGCUCUUGGACAAUCUCCGGAAUCCGCGCCACCUGUGCCUUGAGUUCUUGAACCUCUCGCGCCUGGCUUUCCGAGCUGGUCUUUUUCUCCUUCCGCACACUAGCGGUAUAGUAUGACCCCCAUUUUGUCGACAAGCCUUUGCCGGCCACACGACCAGCUGACGUCGGCUUACUGAGCUUAUCCUUGUUCUUCAUUACAUUCAACGCCCUAUUUAGAGUGGUGUCCCAAGGGUUGCUCUUAGUCGACCCCGCGCUACUGCUUUCAGUCGCCUGCGGAAGGAAUGUGAACCAUUUAGAAAUUUGGCUUCAUUAAUUAGAAUGCAACCAUAUGGAGCUAAUUACGCGGGGGUGUAUUCCUUACCAGAACAAGCUCAAGCUGCCUGGUCUUCGGAUCCGUGGUAAGCUCCUUUGUUUUCGGGUCCUUCUUGUACCGGGCCCUGACAAAGUUCCUGGUCUGCUUGUUACCGCUGUAUUUCUCGAAGAGGGGCAGUAGGCCUUGCUCGGCACGGUCCGCCUCCUCCUUGUCCCAUAUAGGCUCCGCCACUCUGUAACCGCCGGGACCGAGUGUGUGUUCCCCUAUGUUCAGCUCCCGCAUUUGUUUCCCCCACUCACUUGAUUGGGAGCUUGCGGUGCUCGAGCAAUUGAUCUUGAAGUCGUUGUAGUCAUCUUCGGUGAUUGAAGGAUUUUUCUCCUUGAUCUUCUGAUAACUCUCACCUUUCUCGAUCAUUUUCUUCACAUUGCUUUUCCAAGUAGACAGGGCCUUGCUCAUCUUCGUGAGGGCAGCAUUGUUCACUUUAUUCCCUUUGAGGCUUGUGUUUGCAAAUUCAGCGGGGAACUUGUAUCGUUCGUGCAGCUUCGUGAAGAGGAGGUGGCGCAAAUUCCCUCGGUCAGGAUGCCUCAGGUUCUCGGUGUUGAUCGAGACGGUGCUCUGGACAAUGCACCCGAGCUGAAGCGAGUACCCCUUGACUAUUCGUUCGGGCGCCGUUGGAUUCCCGUUGGAGUCCACUUCAGUAACUUCCUCCUUGAGGGUGAGGAGCACGAUCGGGCGCCGGUCCUUCCAUUGCCUCUUCGGUUGGCUGCCAUCUGUGCGGGCGCCGCCAUCAUCAGUGGUGGCAUCCUCGGCGGCACCAUCAGUGGUGGCAUCAGUGUGGUCAUCCUCGGCGGCACCAUCAGUGGUCUCAGGAUCGGUGGGGAAGGCGGCGGCCUCAUACAAGUGAGGUUGUUCCUCCAUCUCCUGGGACAGCUCCCAGAAUGCCUUGCCGCCCGAACCCCCGGCCUCAUCGUUGUGGGUCAUGUUUCUCUCUAAAUAGAAACAAAGUUUGGUCAAAAAGUUGGUUAUUGUCAAGGAAUCAGAUCUCUAAGUUGACCAAAUAACCUAAUUCUCGAGGAAUGUCGCCAAAAAGUUGGUUAUUGUCAAGGAACAAUUGAGAGAUGUUUGUGAUAUUGCCUAGGUGUUUUGGGAUAGAACCUGUUAGUGUGUUGUUGCUAAGGUCCAAGUCCACGUUCUGAGGGUAACCUAGUUCUUGAGGGGUGUGUCUAGAAAGUUCACUCUUCUUUUUAGAAGACAAGCGUCUGAAAUGGUAUUGCCUUUCCUUAAUUUGUACUAUUUUUUCAUUGUGCUGAAUACUUAUGUGGGUGAGUGUAUCUGUAAUUACUUUUUACUACACCGCAGAACUAAUCCUGAGUGUACCCUGUUAUUGCUUUUUCAAUCUAUAGCUGAAACAUAUUACACCAUAGAUGGUGAUACUGUGUUUGCAUAUGAAAAUAGCACCACAUGUGGUCGAUAGUCUUGCGCCCCUAGCAACUAUUGAGUUUCUGAAAAACUCAACACUUCUACAUUACAAUUCUACUGGAAUAGCUGCAGUGUUUUGUCAGUCAAGAGCUGGAUGAUGUUGUUUGCUCUAUGGUUUCCUGUAUGUAAACUUGCUGUAUUUAUUCUGUAAAAGGUGUAAAGUUCGCAGACCCAAAGAAAUCUGAAGGCGGACCAGCUAACCAUGUAAAAUUGCUAGAGCAGUGGUUGUACUGACACAGAACAUUGCUACACCAGGAUAGUGUAUCUGUAAUUACUUUUUACUACACCAGGAUUUGUACUAUUUUUUUAUUGUGUUGAAUACUUAUGUGGGUGUGUGAAUAAAAUACUAAACUAAUCCAACCACUAAAGCAAAUUAAUUUUUAUUUCGGUUGAGAAUCGGGCACCUUCUAGGUCAAGAAAAUUGGGCAUGACCUUUGCUAAUUUUCUUGACCUAGGAGUGCCCCAUUUCUCAACCGAAACGGAAAUUAAUCAACGUUUCAGGAGAAAGGGGUUAUUUUUUGGCACAAACAGAGAUGUUCUAACUAUUUUCAGUAUCAAGGCAUUGCAGUUUGAAUCAUCUUAUCAGUGUCUCUACAAAAAUAGCUCAGAAUUAUGAUUCCAUUUCCACAUUGAUCUUUGAGCAAUAUAGUGCAUUGUUUUGCUUCAGGUGAUCUGUCCCGGAGCAGCAUCCGGACCAAAGCUUUGCAACCUUACAGCGGCGCGUGCACACACGCAUGACGAGUUUCAAAGAGCUAAAUCAUGCUAUUAGCUGGGCAUAUGCAGCAGGAACAACCAAACUUGAAGAAACUCAUGCUAAAGAAUUUAAAAGCUUCUGCAAUACAAAGAUGACAAUUCACAAUUCUUGCUAGUAAAUGCAUCAGAUUUAGAAUUCUUGUCAGAAGCACGGAUACAUAUUUAGAAUUCCAUUUUACUCAAUCUUUGCUACAACUUUCAAGAUGCCUUGAAAAAAUUUACAAGGACACACUUGUGAAGCUUGUGACCACAUUAUGGGUACAAACAUGUUUACCACAAACUCCACGUAAUUCAUAGUACUUGAAACUAAAAGCUAGUGGUCGUAUCCUGCAACCAAUAAACUCAAUCUCUAUGUGCCACUUGUCCAACUAGUGCCUGCUACUCUUCUUCUCCUCUAAUUAUCUCAGAUCAGAUAACUACUACCAAUGGUGAUCCGUGUCUGGUAUUGUGCGACUCAAUCUCCAUAUUAAAAAAUCCAGAUCGAAUGAAACCAACAGUUCACUCGACAAUAUCACUUUCACAGUCACGGGUCUCGGGCCGGUCUCUAUUUCAGAUAGUUAACCAUAUGCACAUUGCUACUUGCCAAAGAAGAAAAACCAAAACAGUGGUGACAUCGUCCAGGAGAUUGCAUUCCAAAGCCAAGGCUUCAUUCAUCCCUGGUCAUGUAUGGUCAAAUUUUUUUCUAUCUUCGACCACUAAUUACAAAAACACAAUUCAAAGAUUUACAGUUAGAUUUCUGGUCAAGAGACUUGAACUGGAUCGUACCACGUGCUCUCACCAGAGAGAAUAUUUCCCAUUGACUAGUCUUGGAACAGAUGAACCUAUCAUGAUUGGAUUGGCUAGGACAAACUGCAACUUGGUGGCAUUAUAUACUAAAUAAUCUGUCAAUGCAUCGCAAACAAUAAAAAAAAUUAUUUGCAAAGGACAUGAUUGCUCAAAAUAAUUGNNNNNNNNNNNNNNNNNNNNNNNNNNNNNNNNNNNNNNNNNNNNNNNNNNNNNNNNNNNNNNNNNNNNNNNNNNNNNNNNNNNNNNNNNNNNNNNNNNNNNNNNNNNNNNNNNNNNNNNNNNNNNNNNNNNNNNNNNNNNNNNNNNNNNNNNNNNNNNNNNNNNNNNNNNNNNNNNNNNNNNNNNNNNNNNNNNNNNNNNNNNNNNNNNNNNNNNNNNNNNNNNNNNNNNNNNNNNNNNNNNNNNNNNNNNNNNNNNNNNNNNNNNNNNNNNNNNNNNNNNNNNNNNNNNNNNNNNNNNNNNNNNNNNNNNNNNNNNNNNNNNNNNNNNNNNNNNNNNNNNNNNNNNNNNNNNNNNNNNNNNNNNNNNNNNNNNNNNNNNNNNNNNNNNNNNNNNNNNNNNNNNNNNNNNNNNNNNNNNNNNNNNNNNNNNNNNNNNNNNNNNNNNNNNNNNNNNNNNNNNNNNNNNNNNNNNNNNNNNNNNNNNNNNNNNNNNNNNNNNNNNNNNNNNNNNNNNNNNNNNNNNNNNNNNNNNNNNNNNNNNNNNNNNNNNNNNNNNNNNNNNNNNNNNNNNNNNNNNNNNNNNNNNNNNNNNNNNNNNNNNNNNNNNNNNNNNNNNNNNNNNNNNNNNNNNNNNNNNNNNNNNNNNNNNNNNNNNNNNNNNNNNNNNNNNNNNNNNNNNNNNNNNNNNNNNNNNNNNNNNNNNNNNNNNNNNNNNNNNNNNNNNNNNNNNNNNNNNNNNNNNNNNNNNNNNNNNNNNNNNNNNNNNNNNNNNNNNNNNNNNNNNNNNNNNNNNNNNNNNNNNNNNNNNNNNNNNNNNNNNNNNNNNNNNNNNNNNNNNNNNNNNNNNNNNNNNNNNNNNNNNNNNNNNNNNNNNNNNNNNNNNNNNNNNNNNNNNNNNNNNNNNNNNNNNNNNNNNNNNNNNNNCGGACGGCGUCGGGUUAGGUUUGGGCGGACGGCGCGGGCUCGAGGGGGAGGAAGGGGAGAGGGAGGCAGCGGGGGCGCGUGGGCGGCUGCGGCGCAGUGGGUCAGGGCAGCGGCGGCGGCGGCGGUGGAUCGAGGGAGAGGGAACUGGCGAGGGGGAGAGGGAAGGGGGGAUCGGGCGAAGGGGGAGAGGGAAGGGAUCGGGCACAGUACUAAUGGCGCACCACCCCUCGGUGCGCCAUAAGUACAUCCAUACUAAUGGCGCACCUCACCGUGGUGCACCAUUAGUAUUUUUUUUAUUUCAACUCGAGCCAACAGGUUAUGUACCACCAGAACUGAUCCACAUAAAGUCCCCUCUACUAGCUCGACUGGUCAGCAGCCAGUUCUCACACCAGGAGGUCCCGGGUUUGACUCCCAGGCUCCACAAAUUUUUUUUAGCAUUUAAAAAGCUGUUUGAUACUUAUUUGUGUUUAAAUAUGUUCAAACUUGUUUAAAUAAUAACAGUAAUAUUUUUUUAUAAGACAGUAGCAUUUAAAAAGCUGUUUGAUACUUAUUUUUUUAUAAGACGGUGCGCGGGGUGCGGGGGGUCGGCGGCGGCGGCCGGUGGACUGGGGGGUGCUCGGCGGCGAGGGGGACCGGAUCUGGCGAGGUGGGAUAGCGAUCGAGAUGGAGGGAGAUCGAGAUCGUGUGUCCAUGAAAUUUAAAAAUAUUCAUGAUAGUUCAAAAAGUACCCAUGAAAUACAAUCGAGAAAUGAAGGCUACGAUUUAAAUACAAUCGAUCUUAGCUAGCUAUCUGUUCACAAUCUUCUUGCCCUUCUUUUUCGCAAAUGGAGUUCUUCUGUGGAACGGACGUCCUUUAGGUAGGGUGGUCCUGCUUCUUCUUGUGGUGUAUGCUGCUACUUCAUCAUCGUCGUCAUGUUCGAUCCUCGGGUCGCCGUACUUGUCGAAGUCUUGCUCAUUGGCUACUCCAUCCAUUCUGAUGAUCUUCCUUUUGCCUCUCCUCACAACAACACAACUGGGCUUUGGCGGGUCGGUAAUGAAGAAGCAUUGGUCCACUUGGGAAGCCAGUACCCAUGGCUCAUUUUUCGCGGUGACGUUUGCGCCCGCGGUCUUGGAUUUGGCUUCGGGUAUAACCAUGGUGGUGAAAUACCGGUCUUCUUUUAUGACGUUCUUGGCCCAUCUGACACGGAACAUCGGGACCUUCUCUCCAGCGUAGCUCAGCUCCCAAAUCUCCUCGAUCCUUCCAUAGUAUCUGUCCUUGUCGUUACCGGUGUAGGAUUCCAUCGUUACCCCGGAGUUCUGAUAACCAUCGCUCUUCAUGUCCUUGGCCUCGGUGUAGAAUGUGUAGCCGUUGAUAUCAUACGCCUCAUAGGUCAUCAGGUUGUGCUCGGCGCCCUGUGACAAGGCGAAUAUGAGUUGUUCUUCCGCGGAAGAAUCCUCAUGUAAAGGGUACGACAGAAGCUUCUGCUUGAACCAACGCGUGAAACAUGAGUUGUGCUCUUUGAGUAUAUCUCCGUCCAUCCUCUGUUGGCCUCGGUCAUUGUACGUCUUCUUAAUAAAGGUUUUGUGCUCUACCACCCAAGGAUCGACCAUGUCUAUGUGUUGUAGCGCGACUAGGUUUGCUCUUUCAAAGUCGGCGAGUCGACCCUCGAAGUCGACAUGCAUUUCGCGGCGACCCUCACGGUGACCCCAUCCAGCGAGCCUGCCGAGGUGCCUGUUGACGGGCAGACCAAUGGGGUUCUCGAUGCCUAGAUAAUUCGUGCAGUAGGAGAUGCACUCUUCGGUCAGAAAGCCCCUGGCUAUGCUUCCUUCUGGACGUGACAUGUUGCGAACGUAUCCUUUGAUGACACCAUUCAUCCUUUCGAACGGCAUCAUGCUGUGCAGGAAUGUCGGCCCGAGUUGGAUGAUAUCCUCCACUAUAUGGACCAGCAGAUGCACCAUAACGUCGAACAAUGCGGGCGGGAAGUACAUCUCAAGCUCGCAUAGUAUCACCACGAUCUCUUCCUGUAGCCUUCUGAGUUGCCUCACGCCAAUCGACUUCCGAGAGAUGACGUCGAAGAAGUUGCAUAGGCCAAAUAGCGUUUCACGGACGUGCGCGUCCAUGAUCCCACAGAUUGCAACUGGAAGUAUCUGCGUCAUCAGCACGUGACAGUCGUGAGACUUCAUCCCGCUGAACUUCUGCUUCGCUGGGUCUAGGUAUCUGCUUAUCUUCCCCGCGUAACCGUAAGGAAGUUUUACUCCUAGGAGGCAGGUGAAAAACUGCUCAAUCUCCUCCUGACUUAGAGUGAAGCACGCGGGAGGGUAGUCAUUUCCAGUCUUCUUGGCCUUUUUGCCUUUGCGACGACUUUCUGUGUCCUGCUUCGCCUCAUCAUCAUCAUCAUCAUCAUCAUCAUCAUCAUCAUCAUCAUCAUCAUCAUAUAUAGCGUGAAGCUCCUGCCUGAUGCCCAUUGAUUUCAAGUCUGCCCUUGCUUUCGGCCCAUCUUUGGUCCUCUCUGGCAUGUUGAGCAGGGUACCAAGCAGACUCUCGCACACGUUCUUCGUGAUAUGCAUGACAUCAAGGCUGUGAGGCACACGGUGGAUCUUCCAGUACGGCAAGUCCCAGAAAACAGACCUCGUUUUCCAUACCUUCAGUAGCGGCUCUGGCGCCUUUCGCUUCUUUCCCGGCUCUGGUGCCUUUUGCUUCUUUCCCGGCAGUGGGCAGUCUUUCCAAUUUUUCAACAGCUUGUCUAUUUCCUCGCCGCUCCUCGUACACGGGCGUUUUCGGGGUUCGGUUUCACCAUCGAACAGAUCCUUGCGUUUCCUCCACGGGUCAUCGUCGCGAAGCCACCUUCGAUGUCCCAUGAACACGGUUUUCGAAGACCCGGGAUCUCUAUCUAGCUGGCGAUACGUUGUGUCAUCCAUGCACCUUACGCAUCCAGAAAAUCCGUGGACUACCUGCCCCGCAAGAUAUCCGUAACCGAGAUAGUCGUGCACCAUCGUGAGCAGUGCGGCUCUCAUAGGGAAAUAUUCUUUCUCUGCGGCGUCCCACGUAUUGGCUGGCGUUUUCCACAGCGUGUCAAGCUCCUCUUUCAGCAGCCCCAGAUACAGAUUGAUGUCGUUCCCUGGUUGUUUCGGCCCUUCAAUUAGCAUACUCAUGUGAAUGUACUUCCUCUUCAUGCACAACCAGGGGGGAAGGUUGUACAUCCACACAAACACAGGCCAGGUGCUAUGUGUGCUUCUCUAGCUGCCAAACGGAUUGACUCCAUCGGUGCUCGCGCCCAGCACGAUGUUCCUUGGAUCGUUCCCAAAUUCUGGGUAUUCGAAGUUCAACGCUUGCCACUGGCUCGCAUCCUUAGGGUGACUCAGCAUCUUGUCUUUUUUAUCUAUCUCCGGAUCAUUUGCGUCAUCUUCUCGCUUCUUCUCCUCCCUAUCCGCGUGCCAACGCAGGAGCUUUGCUACCUUAGGGUCCGCGAAAUACCGCUGCAGACGAGGAGUGAUCGGAAAGUACCACACCACUUUUCGAGGAGCUUUCUUCCUCUUCUUGUAUCGAGUGACACCGCACACCGGACAUAUGGUAGACUCCGCGUGCUCGUCCCGAUAAAUGAUGCAAUUGUUCAUGCACACAUGGUAUUUCACGUGCGGUAAAUCCAGAGGACACACGAUUUUCUUCGCCUCCUCCAAACUGGUCGGGCACUUGUUCCCCUUGGGAAGACGUUUGUGCCAGAAUGACAUGUUCUCAUCGAAGCAUGCGUCGGUCAUUUUGUGUUUUACCUUCAUAUCCAGAGCCAUGAGCGUUACUUUCAGGCGGGUAUCCUCGGGCCUGCAUCCUUCAUACAAUGGAGUAACCGCGUCUAACUCAAGUUGAUCCAUCUUGGCUUUCUCUCGGGCGGCAGCUCUUGCGUUAUCCGUCUGCUUGAGAAGCAGCUCUUGAAUAUGAGGGUCCUGCACCCAGCCCAUCGAUGGUCCAGCGUCGUCUGCUCCGCCGGCAUCAUCAUCAUGUCCUGCAUCUUCUACAUGAUGACUGUGUAUAGCAUCACCGUCGUGAUCAUCUCCUGGGGAUUCUUCGUCUUCUCGCCCNNNNNNNNNNNNNNNNNNNNNNNCUUGCCCGGCCCUCAUGGACGACUUCGUAGUCAUCUUCAUCACCUUGCCACCGAUAGCCAUCCAUGAAACCACGCAAGAGCAGGUGGUCCCGCACCUGCCCGGAAUCCGGGUCCGCAAUAAGGCUAUUCAGCUUGCAUCUUCGACACGGACAUCUUAUCUCCGUCUCGUUCUUUUGAAGCAUCUCGGCCUUCGCAGACUUCAAAAACCUAUUCACGAUGCCUUCGGUCAUCGUGCGGACCAUGGUCGCCUGCGGGGUAGAGCAAAACGAUAUUUUAGAACCAAGAAAAUUUUUGCAUGACUUUCCCUAAAAAUAGGACCAAAAAGAAUGCUUAAUGCCAAAAUUCUCGCCGAAACGGAAAUGAAUCAACAUUCCGGCAAAAUAUUGGCAACUAUCGCAUUUCAAAUACCGGUACACCUCCAAACACAAACACAUAUGCCACACCACAAACAUAUGCAACACCACGAACAUACAUAGAUCUAGCUAGGCCAUAAAAAGUGCAUGUGCACAUUGUUGUAGGGAGAACAACAUAAAUAUAGCUUCCCCCCUUACUUACCUAGCAAAACAAGGUAACUUAACCACUUAAUUUGAAUGAAUCUAUGGUGGAAAUGAGGUGAAAAAGAGGAGGCACCCGAGACAAGGAGGAGGCGGUGGAGAGAAUGAAGUGGGGAGAAAGUGAGUGUGGGAGGAGAGGCUGUUCAAAAUAUCUUGUUGCUGCCCACUUAUUAAUGGCGCACCAGCAACAAAUGUGCCAUUAGUAAUCCAGAUUACUAAUGGCGCACCCCCUGGUGGUGCGCCAUUAGUAGUUUUGCAAAAAAAACAUACUAAUGGCGCACUCUGCCACGAUGCGCCAUUACUAGUUUGAACUAGUAAUGGCGCACCGCGUGUGAGUGCGCCAUUAGUACUUUUGCAAAAAAAGGAAUAAAAAUAAUAAUAAAAAAAUAACUUUAGUGGCGCACCUUCUGGCUGGUGCACCAUUACUAGUUACAACUAGUAAUGGCGCACCACCAGUGGAUGCGCCAUUAGUAUGUUUGGACAGGCGCACUAGUUCAAAAAAAAAUUGGUACUAAUGGCGCACCGUGGGCAGGGUGCGCCAUUAGUAGUUUCAACACUAAUGGCGCAUCAGAAGGUGGUGCGCCAUUAGUAUAUACUAAUGGCGCACCACAUGUCUGGUGCGCCAUUAGUGUCAAUUCCAUCUAUAGCCCUUUUCCUAGUAGUGGUGACACCUCCUCCUCUCCCGUAGGUGCUUGGCGAAGCCCUGCAGGAUUGCCACGCUCCUCCACCAUCAUCACGCCGUUGUGCUGCUGCUGGAUGGAGUCUUCCUCAACCUCUCCCUCUCUCCUUGCUGGAUCAAGGCAUGGGAGACGUCACCGGGCUGUACGUGUGUUAAACGCGGAGGUGCCGUCCGUUCGGCACUAGGAUCUCUGGUGAUUUGGAUCACGACGAGUACGACUCCUUCAACCCCGUUCUCUUGAAUGCUUCCGCUUAGCGAUCUACAAGGGUAUGUAGAUGCACUCUCCUUCCCCUCGUUGUUGGUCUCUCCAUAGAUAGAUCUUGGUGACACGUAGGAAAAUUUUGAAUUUCUGCUACGUUCCCCAACAAUGUACAAUGGUGGCAUACGGAUACAUAUGCCCCAUGACAAAAAGUAAUUUGAGGCAUCUAUAUUUAUUUUGUCUCCCCAAUGCAAGCUACCAUUAGUGGGCCUCAUUAAGAAAUAAAAAAUAAAGACUCUACCACACAUCCAUCUCUACUUUUCACUCCAACCUUUUCAACUUUUGUCACCGGACCACACUUUUUCUUUCAAGCACCCGCCUCCUGAAGAGGAUCCCGCUUCCCUAACCGGACCUACUUUACGUCAUAUCCGAUCCUAGAUGGCAUGCAAGGCAUCACCUUGAGGCUAUGCAUUGUACAUGCCCUAACAAGAUGGCCUCACGCCGCGUAUCGGCUCUGUAGACGAGGCACACGGCCUGGUCGGCGCGAGCGAACAAGCCCAAGACAGGGGUUCAUGCGCGCCCGGCGACCAGGGCUCCACGUGCACAUCUGACAUGCAGCCAACUGGCCUAUCAAGACGGGCCCAUGCGUGAACCGGCUCUACUGCUGAGGCACAAGGUAGACUAAAAGCGAGCUAAUCAGACAGGAAUGAUGCAAACCUUGCCUGUCGCCACCGAACUCGUCCGGCACAGGUCGACGGCGCCGAUAGGCAAGCUCGUCUGCAACUUCGCGCACGUGACAGGUCCCUCCCGAGCGCUCCCAAUGACGGUGGCCCCUAGCGAGCGAAGCGGUCCACCUGUCAUGGGCCUUCCAGCCAGACCACUCGGGCGCGAGCCAUCCGGGAAGAUUGGAUGGCUCGGAGCCGCACCGAGAGACCCCCGUGGCAUGCCACCUGGAAAUGGGCGGCUCGGAGGGCGCCAACUGUACCGAUCGAGCCAACCGGAUGGGGCUAAGAAGCUAACAGGCGGGUCUAUAGCUAGGUGCUCGCACAUAUGUGGGGUGUGCCCGAAGCUGCCCAAUGAUAGUGGCCCUAGGCGUGUCGGACGGUCCACCCGGCAUGGAGCUUCCAGCCGGGUCGCACAGGUCUACGGCCAUGGCACAGGGUUGGCUAAAGCGGGAUAACCAGAUUGACAAGAUGCGUACAAGCCCGAUAGGGAGGCCCAGACGCGCAAGCUGGCGCUAGAGGCGUGAUGCAAGCCUCGCCUGUUACCACCGAACCCACCCGGCGCGGGUCGACGAUGCAGAUAGGUGGGCCCGUCAGCACCUUCAUGCGCGCGUUAGGUCCCUCCCGAGCAUGACUGAUGCCACCCAAUGACGACGGCAUCGGGCGGGCCAAGUGGUCCACCUGUCAUUGACCUUCCAGCCAGACCAGUCAGGCGCAAGCCGUCUGGGCAGAUCGAACGGCUCGGAGCCGCACUGAGCGAUCCCCGCGGCACACCACCGAGAAACAGAUGGCUCGAAAGGCCGCCGACUGUAGCGACCGGAGAUAAUAUCAAGCCUUUGUCAUGCUUUUAGGUCCUUUUGAACUCUCUAGGCAUAAUUGUGAAAUGACUUGUAUGAAUGAGGUUGAGAAAAUUUUGUGCACCUCAUGUUAUGAUGUGUGAGUAGUAGUAAAGGUAUGUGUGUUACCUUUUGGACUUUAGAUGGAUAUUACCCUAUAUUUGUGAAGCCUUCUUCCAUGCCUGGUCAAUGAAGGUGAAUGAUUAUCCAUCUUCACAUGAGAUACCCCUGAACUUCAUCAUUCAGUUACAUAAUUAAUUUAAGCUCAGUCAGUUCUUGAUGUUUACUUAUUGGACUGAAAAUAUAGUACGACUUUGCAUUUGCAUUGUAUGCUCAUAUAGAUACGAUAUGAUUUGAUUUCAUUCACUUCACUUGCAUGGGAGUAAGUCGGUGAUUAUGUCCAACAUCGCCCGUCCUAUCAUGUUGUUUACGUGUGUUUUUCUGUUUUUGUUUUUUUCUACAAGGAGGGUUACACCCGGCAUCUGCAUCAUUUAGAUGCACAAUCCAUUAUUAGAAGAAGUUGAAGUAUCAAGCUCUAGUACACAACUACCAAUAAUAUAAGUAAAAAUGUCACAACCGGCAAAAAAAAAUAUGCAGUCAUAGUUAAUGUUGUAGGUAACUAAGAUUAGCUGCUACGGGUUGUAGCUUUUGUUGGCAAUAUUAAAGUUAUUAGGGUAUUUCCACUGUCAAGUGAAGUGCAUAUGUUGAUAAUAUAGAGUUGUGUCAGUUGAUAGAAGUUUUUCCAAUGGAGUGGCAAUCAGUUUUGCUCUUUUUGAUUGACCAUGUUGAGGACGUGAUUUAUCUUUGUACUCCCAAAACAUUCAUCCUUUAUUUGGAUGUCAUGUAUGUUGAAAUAUAUUUUCCGCCUCUCUCCAUCAGUUCGGACUUUUGGAUGAGCUGGCUAGAGCAUGAAUUCAAUAUGGUAUCCGUGUCAGAAGGUCUUGAGCUCAAGACCCAGCCAACGCAGUACUAAAAAAAGAUUUUGCGUCCUACAUAAAUCCCACGUCUAAGGACUAAAUAAGCCUAGACAUCAGAGGGGAGUGUUAAAAUAUAUUUCCCGUUUCUCUCCAUUAGUUCGUACUUUUGAAUGAGUUGGCUGGAGCAUGAAUUCAUAGUGUAAUCGCAGGCGUCGGCCAGAACGCUGCCGAAGGAGCGAACGUUGCAACCGCUGGAGAUGGUGGCCAUAACGAUGCCAGAGGAGCAAAGGUCGCCACAGGAGGGAUGGGCGGUGCACAGCCGGCAACCAUCUCUGGCGUCGGCCAGAACGUUGCCAAAGGAGCAAACGUUGCAGCUGCUAGAGAUGGUGGCCAGAAUGCUGCCGGAGGAGCAAAGGUCGCAAUAGGAGGGGUGGGCGGUGCACAGCCGGCAGACAUCACUGGCGUCGACCAUAACGCUGCUGGUGGAAGGAGUCCUCCCGCCGCUGGAGAUGGUGGCCAGAAUGCUACCAGAGGAGCAAAGGUCGCCAUAGGAGGGGUGGGCGGUGCGCAGCUGGCAGCCAUCACUGGAGGCAGCGGACUAUAGAGGCACUUGUCGUAAAAAUUGAUUUGCACAACAUAACAUCAACAUUAUUAUGGGGUGGAGAGAGGGCAUAUGUCCCCCCAUACCCCGGCGAACUUCACCACAUUGUAUUUAUUCAAAUAAUUAUUUAUGAUUGAGUACACGUGUCUUAUAAUCAUUAUUCCGUGGCUCCAUGCUGAACAGGUGUUUGAUGUAUUGCCACAAAGAGAGAUGGAGAGGAAGAAGAAGAAGACCAAGUCAAAUAUGGUUACGUGGUAGUUUUUUCCUGCCAACUGAUUCUGAUGGGUGGGCCACUCCGAUUAGUGAUGUCAUUGAAACCCUUAGCAUCUACCAUCAAUGUUUUUGUCACUGUCAAUUUUUGGAUUCGGUGCAAAGUGUCACGUUUUGUAAAGUGUUGGUUUUUCGAAAGCUAUGACGCUAAAGUGGUGGUUCUAUGCAUUGUACUCGGCCUACCCAUCACUAGGGAAAACCAUGAGCCCACCGGGACAUGGUUGCGGCUCUGCAAGUGCGUGUAUGUCAGACCAACAGCGGCAGGGUGUGUGCUUGCAUUCCGACGUCGAGGUUCAAACCUGCUGAAAAAUCAUGAACCAUGUGUGAAGACCGCGAGAGUGGAGGUUGCUCGGACUCGGGGGCACCGAAGCUUGUCUUUGUCAUUGGAACACAUGUUGAAGAGGGGGCCUACGCACGGUCUGAACGGAAGCACUUGGUGUGAGGCUCUAUAUGACGGAAAUCCCAAUGUGCACUACCAACGCACGUGUGGGUGCAUGUCUCAUGUAAAGAAGGUGGCCUCUGGCGUGAAUGAACUGAGUGAAUUGCAGAUAACAUCAACAUUAAAGGCUAGUGUUGCAGAAAUCACACUUCUACGGUUUUGUGUCUAAACCCACUUAUUCUGAGGCUAAUGUUUUUUGCAAAAAACACUAGUCGGCAGCUUAGGCCGUUUUGAGCAUGAUUAUGACAGCUGGGUCCCACUGGACAGGGUGACGUGGCAUGAUAUGACAAAAUCACAAAUAGAUAGAAUAACAUAUACUAAACUAUAAAAGGGCCUAUAAGAGGAUAAGGUCUGGCUCCUCCUUCCUCUCCUCAGCCGUGCACACGAGCUCCCGGCCGGCGAGCUCGGCAUGGAAAGAUGGCUCCACGACGCCCCGCCUCCUUCUCCUCCUCCUCCUGCUCCUCUCUCCCCCGCCCCCACCUUCCUCCCAAUCGCCCGCCUCGGCCUCCCCUUGCUGCUCACCUACAUCGGCGUCGGCGAGAUGAAGAGGAGUCACGACGGCCGCCUGUGUAGGCAUGGUGAGUGAGGGCAUGAAGUGAAGGCGCGACGACGGCCGCCAUGGAUGAGCUCCGUCCGGAGCUGCGCUUCAACGAGGGGCAUCGAGGUACGGUCCAUGUCCCUCGAUGGCGAGCUCCGCUGCCGGCGGUGCCCUCCCCUAUCUCACCCAUCUCUCUCUGAGCAUCGGUGCCCUCCCCUAUCUCACCCAUCUCUCUCUGAGCAUCGGUGCCCUCCCCUAUCUCUCCCAUCUCUCUCUGAUGCGUGCCCAAUGCUCAAGCCGCCGCCGCUGGAGCUCAAUCAUGGUUGCUCGAUGCUCAAGCUGGAUCCGUCGGAGCUCAUCCAUGGCCCCCGAUGCUCAAGCCGCCAUGGGAGCUCCGUUGCCCCGCUGUCCUAACCGACACCACUGCCGAAUCCACGCCCUCUUGCCCGUCCCAGACCACGCCGGACCUUCCAUGUGCCCGGCCGGCGGCUUCCACCACCGGGCCGGUGGGAGAUGAAGGUCACGAUCUCAUGGAGGACCCGGUUUUUUUUUCAGGGGUCCUUUCGCAAAACAAAAUUGUAUUGAAUGUAAUUGAUAGUUUCUUUUGCCAUGUCACCCUAUCCAGCAGGACCCACAUGUCAUAAUGAUGCUCAAAACGAACUAAGCCGUCGACUAGUGGUUUCUGCAAAAAAAAAUAGGCUCAGAAUUAGUGAUUUUUGGCACAAUGUUAAUGUGGUUUCUACAACCCUAGCCUCAUUGUCAAUAUCUUCUGCAAUUCACUCUAAAGGAACUAGACGACAUAUGGUCAGCAUUGGUGUUUGGAUAUGUGGAGGAUCCAAACCCUAUCAUUUCCAUGACAUGUUACGCACCGCCUCAGUGUCAUCAUGGGUGUGCUACGUGAAGCUGGACAUGUCCUUCAUCUUUGGGCAUUAAGGUGUGUCCACAAGAGCAUGCUCUAUACCAGAGGGAGAAUGCAACAUCCUACCUCCAUGCUGGCAUUUUCGUCAAUGACCUGGUGAUCACCCGCAUGCGUCCUGACGAGAUCGAAUAGUUCAAGGCACAAAUGCACUUCAACAUGAGUGACAUCGGGAGUCUCAGAUACUGCCAGGGACUCGAAGCCGGACAAUGCACACGGUGAAUUCACGUUGUGUCAAGCAAGUUAUGCAGCGGAAAUUAUGGAGCUCGUCGGCAUGGAAAAUUGUAACUCGUGUCAGAUGCCUACGGAGAAUAGGCUCAAACUCGGCAAGAAUACCGGGGGAGUAGGUGUGGAUGCGACACGCUAUCAUGGUGUGAUCGGGAGUCUAUGGUACCCUGGUGAACUAAUGUAUGGACAUCGCCUACACGGUGGGAAUCACAAGAUGGUUCAUGGGUGCUCCAAAGGCUCAGCACUGGGCUACGAUGAAGAAAAUCGUGUUCUACGUCCGUGGAGCGAUGGGCGACAGCUACAGCUACAAGUCUGGUGCAGCACGCCCCGCCCCUCUCUUGGUGUUGUAAAGCAACGAUCUUGAAGAGGGAAGCUGGACGAUCACUGAAGCACAUCGGUGAUGAUAUUCUUCCUCAUGUCAAGCGUCAUCACUAGGCCUCCCAGAAGCAUAAUAUCAUCACACUCUCCUCGUGCGAGCUGGAGUACAUCGCCAUGGCAUCAUCAGCAAGUCAAGGGAUCUGCCUCAGUUGUCUCCUCGGUCACAUGAAUGACAAGGAGCCGCAACAUGUGAAGCUUUAUGUGUGGACACCAAGUCUGAUUGUUCUUAGAAAGUACCCCCGUUCAUCAUGAGCGGAGCAAGCACAUUGACACACGCUACCACUUCAUACAAAAAUGCAUCGAGAGUCAAUCAUCGAUCACGUUGACAUAGAUGGACAACUUGUUGACAUACUCACUAAGCGUCUUAAAAGAGUCAAGUUCAUCGAGAUGAGACUGAAGCUUAGCGUGAAGGAGGUGAUGUCAUGUGCAACGGGAUUAAGGGGGUAAGUUGUUAGCUCUGUUCAAUCUCGUCACUCUAUAGUAACUUAGUCAGUUGGUCAAGUUCAUCAGUAUGAGAUUGAAGCUCAGCAUGAAGGAGGUGAAGUCAAGUGCAACAGGAUUAAGGAUUUAAGGGGGUGAGUUGUUAGAUCUGUUUAAUCAUGUCACUCUAUAGUGCAGUGUGUUUUUGUACACGAUUUCUUUUCUCUCGUCAUUUCCUUGCACCAUAGUGAUAGUUGUAGGCAGCAGCGAUGGCAACAUCGGUUCUAAAAAAAAAUAGUGAUGGAUAUGUUGGAUUUUAUUUGGAUGACUUUUUUAUGACGAUGUUGGAUUUUAUUUGGAUGACUUUUUUUAUGGCUAUGUUGGAUGGCACGAGCUCUGGCAAUUGUUGGGCCAUCGUUUUCGUAGCAAGGCCAUUAUGUAAUUUGUGGGCGUGACUUUGAAGAAUAUAUAAAAUGCAAACCCAGUGUCCAGUCGGGGUUCCUAUAUGUCGCGUAGGUCGCCGCAUAACAAUGUAGCGCGUACCGCCCUGCGUCUUUCCUUCCAUUAUCGGACCGGCCCGGUUCCUUUCCCUUUCUCUGGUUCUGCCGGUUUUCGGACGGUUCUAGAACCUUCCUAGAACCGGUUAAUUUUUCUAUUUUUAUGUUUUCUAUACUGGGUUUUUCCGUUUUUCUGUUCUUUUCAAUUUUUUCUUUUGUUUUUCUUUUUCUUUCCCUUUUUUUACUAUUUUCUUCUUCUUCACUUUUUGAAUACUUUUGGCAUUUUUUUAUUUCGAAUUCUUUAACAACUUUUUUUGUUCAUCAAAUUCAAAAAAUAUUCAACCAUGCACAAAAAUUUUCAACAAUCCAAAAAAUGUUCAUCCAAUUCAAUUUUUUGUUCUUCAGAUUUAAAAAUGUUCUUAAAAAUGCAAAAGUUGUUCGCCAAACUAAAAAAGUGUUCAUCGGUCUCUUUUUUUUCAUUCAAUUUUUUGUUCAUCACAUUCAAAAUUUUGUUCCCUGAAUUAAAAAUUGUUUCAUCAUUUUUCCAAAAUAAUGAUCAUUGAAUGCAAAAAAAAUCAGAAUUUUUUCAAAUUAAACAAAUGUUCAUCAAAUGCCAAAUUUUUCAUUGAUGUUCAACAUAUGUUCGAAAAAUCCUAAAAAAGUUCAUUCCUUUGGAAUCAUGAACAUUUUUUACAAAUACAUGAACAUUUUUUCGAAUUCACGAACAUUUUUUGAACCACGAACAUUAUCUUAAAAUCAAGACAAUUUUUUGUAAUCAUGACCAUUCUUUGCAAAUUCGUGAACAUUUCGCGAAUGCUUGAACUUUUUUUGAAAUCAUGAACAUUUUUUUAGAUUCGUGAACGCUUUUUCUAAUCAUGAACAUUUUUUGCAAAUUCGUGAACAUUUCGUGAAUGCACAAACCUUUUUUUGAAAUCAUUAAGAUUUUUUAAAAUUCGUGAACAUGUUUGAAAUUUGUGAACUUUUUUUAACAAAUUCUUGAAAAAAAUUUAAUUUAUUCCCGAGCAUUUUUUUAAAUAAUGAUUCUUUCUUUUUCAAAAUUAGCAACUUUUACUGAAAUUUAGAAGCUGUUUGAUAUCCUGAAUUAUUGAAAAAAAGGAAAAAAACGCAAAGGAAUAGACAAAAAAAAGUGGCGUGCCGGCCUUACAUGGGCCGGCCCAGAAGGGCGCGAAGGGGGGAGUGGGGGUUGUGAGCCCGCUGCGUUCUCAGCGCGUGGCCCGCCAUAUAGGAGCUCUCGAGUCCAGUGACAUGAAACAUGAUUGCGGUCUAUCACGCAAAUCCCAUCUGACGCUCGUUAUGUCACACUAUUAUUGUCGACCUUCUGAAUACACCGAGCGAGCGAGUGAACUAGGUCGGCCCAUUUGCUUAGGUUCUGUUUUUCGGUUUUCAUGAUUUUAGGAACCUUCUAAAUGUUUCCGGUCAAGUUUUUCUUUUCCUUUUCUCUGUUAUUUUCUUUACCCAUUUUUGAUGGUUUUCUUUUCUUUAUUUCCUUUUCCAAAGAUUUCCACGUUUCUUAAAAUGUUCGUGAAAUAAAAAAAGCAUUUUGAAAAGAUGUUUGCAUUUUAAAAAAUUGAAAAGGUUCAGAACGUUCAAUAUGUCGCAUUUAAAAAUUGUUCAUAUUUUUCAGAAAUGUUUCACAAAAUUUAUAAAAAUAUUUAAUUUUUGAAAAGAAAUUUCUCCAACUUUCAAACUAUUUUAUCUUUUUAGUAUAAUAAAUAUAUUUUGUAAAAACCAAAUGAAAUAUGACUGAAAAUAAAUAAAGCAAUAAAGAAACAGAGUUAAUAGAAAUCCAACAAAAAUGCUUUAGUCGGUACAGUACAGUAUAUCGCGCUUUAUAAGCCGGCCCGAUUCACUAGGAGAUCCCGAUCUAUCAUCAGGUUCAAGACAAAAGCAAUUAAUUGAUUUGUAUCCCUUGCAGGAGUCCCUCAAGGGUCAUUUUUGGUUGGCUGAGAACACGGUGCGCUCUCAGCCGCCACAUGUCGCGUGCUAGGUACCCAGCAGGAUUUUUUGUUUUUGUUUUUCUGUACGAUUUCGGUUUUUUGAUGGAUUUUUCUUGGCCUUUUGGUUUUUGCCCGGUUUUUCCUAGGUUUUUGAGCCAAAAAAUUUGCGCAAAAAAAUGUGUUCUUUUCUUUAGUGAGAGGCGCAGAUUUUCUUUCUGUGGAGGCACAAUUUUGCUUCCAUGAAAGGUUGUGCCUUUUGAAAAAAAACAUGUUUUUUUCUUCCGCGAGAGGCACAGAUUUGCUUCCGACGGAGGCACGGAGAAAGAGAAAAAAAUAUGCUUUUUUAUCUUCCACACGAGGCAGAAUUGUGCCUCUCGGAAGGUGGGGCCGGGGGGUCGUGCUUCCGGCUCGGGUAUUUUGUCUUCUAAUUUUUUUUCGUGAAAAAAGACUUCAUCGAAACUUCUAACAUGAGAUCUAGUUUUGAAGAUCUCGACGCGAGAAAUUCAACGAUUAAAAUGGUUUGCGAUUUGGACGCACAAAUUAAGAGAUAAAACAUUUUGAAUAAAGGAAUCUAUGAAAAAUGAAAAAACUUCCAGGUUGCGACAAUUGGUGCACUUCCGGCUCGGGUAUUUUCUCUUCCAUUUUUUCAUGAAAAAAGCCUUCGUCGAAACUUCUAACAUGGGAUCUAAUUUUGAAGAUCUCGACGCAAAAAAUUCAACAAUGAAAAUGGUCUACGAUUUGGAUGCGCGGAUUAAGAGAUAAAACAUUUUGAAUAAAUGAAUCUACAAAAAAUGAGAAAACUUCCUAGUUGUGACAACUGGUGCACUUCCGGCUCAGGUAUUUUCUCUUCCAUUUUUUUGUGAAAAAGGACUUCAUGGAAACCUCUUAACAUGGGAUCUAAUUUUGAAGAUCCCGACGCCAAAAAUUCAACGAUGAAAAUGGUUUGAGAUUUGGACGCACGGAUUAAGGGAUAAAACAUUUUGAAUAAAUAAAUCUACAAAAAUGAGAAAACUCUCAGGUUGCGACAACUGGCGCACAUGCAGUGCCCCACUUGCCGCAACCUGGGAAGAGGGGGUGACCUUUGCAAGGGGUGCCCCUUAAUUAGUGAUUUCGGUUCAAGACACCUGGGAUGGGAGCUCCUAUUUUGCGUGGCGCGCAUUCCCUAACGAGCCAACGUGCAUUCUUUCUUUCUUUGGACCAGUCCAUUUAUGGAGAUGGACACCCCAUUUUUUUUCCUUCCUUUCUUUCUUUCUUUUUUCCUUUCUUUCUUUUUUAUUUUCUAUUUCUGUUUUAUUCUUCAUUAAAAUAUUCAGGAUUACAAAAAAGAUACCGAAAUUCCAAAAAAAUGUGAAUUUUGGAAAACUUGUCCAAAAAUUAAUAAAAUGUUAGCAGAUUCAAAAGAAAUUGUGAUUUUAAAACAAAUGGUCAAAUGUUGAAAAAUUGUUCAUGAAUUUCAAAAAAGUCCCAAAUUCAAAAAAUGAUGACGAAUUUGUAAAUUCACUCUUUCAGAAAAAAUAUUCGUACAAAAAUGUUUGCUUGUUCAAAAAAUAUUUGUGAAUUUGAAAAUGUGUAAGAAUUCAAAAGUAUUCGAGAUUUUGUAAAAAAAAAACAUUUUCUGCAUACCGUUAUUGAUUUCAAGCAAUUGAUUUCAAGCAAUUGAGCAUCGCAUGUACGAAAUGAAUACUCGGAUCCCAUUAGUUGUAAGCAUAUCUUACCAUAAACAUUUUCUGCAUCAACUAGUUAUGCUAUAUUUAUGCCAGAUAUGGACCAUGAUUUCAAGAAAUCCCAUGUCAGUGAGAAAAAUUAUGGACAGCAUAUAAGACAGCAAAAAACACAGGCCCCUUAAACCCAGCAAGGUGGGCAGAGCGGUUAAAAAGAAAGUGGGCAGAGGCUGCAGGCGAUUCAUAACAUUGGUUCCUCAACAGAUUAAGCGUCACUUAAUACAAAGAUAGAUGGUCGCACGAACAAACCGCUCAGCACAAGAAAUAGAAAAGCUUGUGCGGCGGUGUUCUGGCAGCACCAUCAUCGACACAGUACUUCACACCCGAGUCAGCACAAUACAGCUCACGGGCACUUGAAAUAUCAUCAUCAGUGGAACCGCCACAACCUUAACAGUAAAACAUGACACGCUUGACAUUUUCCAGGGAGAGGCCUAACAGCAACAUUCCCAAAAUGCGCUAUUACUGCGUGCACCACUAGCAACCAGCUGUCCGAGGUAUCCAGCUGCGUGUAAAAUCAAGCCCAGAAGGCUGCCAAAUGUGCAUAAUACGCCGGAGGGACUGCGAUUGCAGCGUUCAACCUAGCAUGAGAAACCUAAAGGGAGUGAUUUUCAAGUGGGGAAUUUACCGAUUGAUACAGAGCGCGUACACCUAGCAUGAAACAGUAGGAAUUUUAUAUUUAAUUGGCCAGCUAAACAGUAUUUUAAUUAUCAAGAAGUUGGAAAGAAUAGUACAUUACGUGUAGAGUUUGCAACUCAUCAGUGGUAAAUUUGUUCUCGUCCCACAGAACAAGAUAAUGAAGCAGGCCAGCCUGUUCCCUGAAAGGAAUCGACAUUCGAAUCAGCAAUUGGCCAAAUCCGUCUAAAUAAACUGCAAAUAAAGGAAGGCCAACCUGAAUGCCAGCAUAGCUACAUAUGUAGGAACCAAAUUCCAUCAGAUGGCAAAUCUUCAAAUCAAUAACGGUGCAUGGAACUAUAGAAAUAAAAAUUGUCAGGUUCAAAAUUGAGAUGAAUACAAAAAGCUUGUUUUCACAACCAACUAACCAGGCAGUAUGUUUCCUGUUUCUAUCAACAAUAUGUUUCCCGUCAAUGGCAGUGAAAGCCGGCAAGGAUCUCCAAGGUCAGCACCAGGAAGAGGUGAAGAAUCGCAGGUGUGGAGAAGAAAGCAUCAUCGGUGGGAAACAGGCGAGAAGCAUCAGCACGAACUCUUAAGUGUAAAGCAGAUCAGCCUGGCUUCUCCAUUGGUUCCGCAAGUAUCGACAGUGCCCUCCGCUUCCCAUCAUCCUCCAGGAACCAGGGAUCCUUACGGUCCACCAAGGCUCUCGAAUUCAAUGCCAUCACCCUUGACUUCCUAUCAGGCCCAAUCCGAAAAUACACCGGUGGCCUCUCCUUUGGAACCAUCCUCUUCCGACCUCCACCUUGGUCUUGGUCCCUCCUCCCCUCAUCAAGUCCUUCACCUUCCGAUUCAGCGAAAGCAGGUGCAAAUUCAUCGAGAACAGAGUGUUUCUUCCCCAAAUUUGGCAUGGCAACCUCUGACACCUCCUUAUCCCCACAACGCAACGCCGACUGAAUAAACGGAUUGCUCUUGACCACAGCCCUAUCUAGCUCCUUCCCCUUGCCAGCACCCUCCUCCACCACCGCCGCCGGGCGGAUCCCGUUGCCACCCGCAAGCGCCAGCUGCCGUUGCAAACCAAGCAGCGACUUCUCGGCCUUCCUCUGCCGCCACACCUGCUCGACCUCAUCCACCGCAGCCGACGACCCGCCGACCAUCUCGCCCGACUCCUCCUCGGCAACCGCAUACGUGUGGGGCUCCGGAAAGGCCGGGAGCCACUCGGGCACAUGCCUCAUCCCGCUCCCCCGGCCCAGCGCCGCAAAGCUAGCACACGACCGCGACGGCGGCGGAUCGUGCCGGACCGGAAACCUGGGCAGCGGCCGCCUCGCGGAGAGCGGCUUGUCAUCGGCAUCGCCGGCGAACGCGACCAAAUCCCUGACGACCCCGGAGCCGACGAGGCAGCCGCGGGUGGAGGAGGCGCCCUCGAAGCCCUGGUACGCCUCGCCGGUCUCCUCGAGGAACCGCAGCACGUCGAGCUCGUUGGGGGCGGUGCGGCCGGCGAGGUUGGCGUGGGCGUUGGCGGCGCCGCCGAGGAGGCGGAGGUAGCGGAGCAGGACGUCGGCGAGCGCGUCCACCGCCGAGCGGGUCGCGGAGGCGAAGCCCGCCGCCUGCAGCGCCCGCGCCACCGCCGCCCUCGCCGCCGCCCGCCCGAACUCGUCGGGGCCGCCGCCGCCGCCCAUGCGUCCACCCCCCGCGCGGGCGGAUCCGGGGCUGGCUAGGGUUAGGGUUGCGGAUCGCGCCGCCGCCUCCGCCGAAUCGAGGGGGAGGGAGGUCGCAUCGAUCGAUCCGACUGACGAUCGAGGGGUUUGGGGGAGGGGGGUUUGAAGGGGUGGCCUGAAUUUGGCAGGGAAUCGAUCGAGGGUGGGUGGGGUGGGGUGGGGUGGGUUUAGUUAGGGUUUGGACCGUUGGGGGUUGAUUUCCCUUCCCUUCCCCGUCGUGCACCUGCGGGAGAUGUGAGCCGACACGGAGGGGGUGCGGACCCCGACCUGCUGACACCGCCGGGUUUUAGCAUAAAUCCAUGUAGGUAUGCACAUCCUAUCUACACCAGCACCUCCGAGUAUACCUGGCUAUGGGAAGCCCGGCCCGGCCGGCCGCUGCCCCCGGGCCGGGCUCGGGCCUAGAUUUUGAGCCCGAAGCCUGGGCCUGGGCCCGUCGUUUUUGCGCUUUUCUGAAGGUCGGGCCGGGCCGGCCCGAAGCCCGAUGGGUUUUUACGUGUUUGGGUCGGGCUCGGGCCCAGAAAACAGGCCCGAUGGCCGGUCGGGCUCGAGCCCAGAAAACAGGCCCGAUGGCCGGUCGGGUCGGGCCCAGGCCUUGGUUUUUUGCGUCAGGCUUGGCUAGGCCCGGCCUGGCAUGAGGUAUGGCCAGGUAUACCUCCAAGUAACUGAGCAUGAGCUUGAUGAAGUCGUUGCAGACGUUUUUUUAUUGUCGACGGAAUGUCUCUUCCCACUGAAGACACAUCGCCGCGGGCCUAAAAUAAAUUCAAGAAAAUACGAGCACCAAUGUCAAGUCUAGGACUUGAACUCUGGUGGGCUGAGGGUAUCAUUGUCCUUCUAACCACCCGAACAAAGGUUGGCUCAUGCUGACAUAGAUGGUUGAUGUGUGAAGUUAAGAGAAGAUUAUAUUCUAGUCUCCCCUCUCUUGGGGCAACUAGUAUGUUGUCAAAUAAUGAAUUGUUUUAGAUUGUCUAAAUAUGAAGUUUUUUGGGUUGGUCCUACGAUUUCACCUAAGGAGUAGAUUAUAUUGUAGUCUCCCCCCUCCUCUUCCCCAUCGGACGAUGCUGACCCCUCACGAAGCUGCGGAUCUCCCGUCGGAUGAAGCCAGCUCCUCCCAGCCCAGUCACGCUCUAUCGCUCGUCGUGUUGCCACCACACCUGUCUCCAUGUUGCCGGAUAACGAAUAUGUUCCAUAGCUAGUGUUAGGCUGACGUUUUGUUGAAAUGUACUGAACUAUAUAUAUUUAAUGAAAUUUGCAUUUGAACUAUGUACUUUGCUGAAGUUGGCAAUAUAAAUGUUAGCAUUUGUCGAAAUUGGUGAUGAACUAUGGUGUGUCUACAGUUGACCAAAAUUAGCGAAGUGGACAAAUGAGUGGAAUUGACGGCUGUACUUAUGGUACCUACUGGGUAAGCAAUUCUUAUUGGAGGAACCCUUACCUUUUGUUUAGCUUAAGACUAAAUCACCGUGGCUCUAUAUGAAUCUAAGAUUUUAGUUGAAUUGAUUCAUAGGAUCACAAAGACAAUUUCUAUAUUAUACGCUGGGUCCUAGCUGGAUGUUAAAACAUGAUGACAUGCAAUGUAAAGCCAACAGGGUUUUUUCUUAAAAUCGCUACUCCAGAGGUGGUAAUCAUUGGCAUGGAUUAUACACACAAUGUCAGUGGUGGUCAGUGUAAAGAUGUACUCCUUUCUAAGUUUGCUACCAAUGUACUCCCUCUGUCCGGAAAUACUUGUCAGAGAAAUUGAUAAAAAUAAAUAUAUCUAUAACUAGGACAGAGGGAGUAUCUAUCUUCACCAUUGCGAACUUCAAUUCUGGAAAUAUAAGCCUACAAAAUUAUCCCGAGCAUGCAGUCGUUUGCCAGUGUUCUAUUCUUUCACUAGAAAUGCUUUCGCCCUACGAAUUUACCGUUGUAUGCAACCAUGCAAGACAACAAAAACACAUCCCAGCAAGUGAUUCCAUGACAUAGGUUCAUAAACAUUUUAAACACCAUUCAUACAAAUGUAUAUAUCACUACGCAGACAUCUCAUACGGCACAGCCACGAAAGCGAAAGCUUCUGGCAGCACAACAGAUAAAUGACACCCAAUCCAGUCAAAUAGCAUAAAAGGUUUGUGCACCGGCCGCCAAUCCGGCACGAGUACUUAGAAUACCCUAGGCAAGCAAUAAAAUAGAGUACAACAGAUACUUUGGUUUAGGUUCGCACAAUGGUGGUGAACAGCAUCACCAAUACAACCCGCAGGCGCUUCAAGUACCCUCACGGUAACCGCCGGGAUCUUAG